AUCAUUCUUCUAAGAACCCUAUAAAUACCCACUAAACACUUGAAGAAAACUAAAUACAGUACUAAUUCACCUUUUGUAGGAGCUAUUCCACUCGACAAACAAAUGACUCCAAGAACCUCUCUUACACUCUUGAUCCUUGCUCUCAACCUCCUCUUCUUCACUUACACAUCUGCCGCAUUAUUGCCACCGAUCCCGGGCAUCACGGUCCUCCCGGGCAUCACGGUCAUCCCGGGCAUCACCGUCCCGGGCAUCACGGUCCCGGGCAUCCCGGCCACGCCAAACACCCCAGCCACGCCAAACACCCCGACCAAGCCAAACACCCCGACCAAGCCAAACACCCCGACCAAGCCAACGAUCCCGACCACGCCAGCCACCCCAGCCACCCCAGCAACGCCAGCCACCCCUGCCACUCCAGCCACCCCAGCAACGCCAAACACCCCAACGUCUCCGACACUCCGCACACCUCCAGGCACAGGUUCUUUAUCCUAGAGAUGCUCUAAAGAACGGUGUUUAAGCUAUUGGACCUAAGAUUGGAAUCUCACCUGAGCCAUGUUGCUCAUCUAAGGCUUUUUGUUGUUUAUAUUUGGUUUUUAUGUGUGCAACUUAUGCAUUUGCUGAGUAUCUUGAAUUUCUAAAGUUUGUUUGUUUUAAGAAAAUAUGUCGCACAUAAUUUAGACAGCAUAUAAAAUAUUUUCUAACUUUUAUCAUUUUUCAAAUACACAGGUUUACUUUUUCUCUACGUAAUUAGACUUUAUUUUAUGAGGAUAAACUAUGACUUUUUGUUAAAGUUUUGCAUUGAAACAACACUUUUUUUUUGAAAAGAAAACAAAGAUCUAAAACAACACUUAAUUUUAAAAGAAAUAAUGUAUUUUGUAAAGGAUUUUUUUUUUUUUUGUAUAUAAAAAAUUAAUAUUUCAUCCCAACCGGAUUUUAGGCCAUGGACUUGGGAAAUGGGGUUUACAUCUAAUUUACAAUUUCAAAAAAAGAAGGAAACCGAUGACUCGAAAUUGGACAUUGAUGGUGUUCGGAAACAAGGAAACACAUCCACUACUACCGGCGAUUACAAGAAACACUGCUUUGCGGCUACAUCAACGAUAUCGAAUCCAGGUAAUAAGUUCAUGUCGCAAAGCCGAUCCGGACGACAAGCCUCAACCCGCAACAUUUAUCCCGAAAUAGAUCGGUUCUCAGAAAAUCUGAGACCUAAUCUAUCUAAUCCCCUACCUAGCAAAAAGGGAGAACUCAGAUCGAUCUAACACUUAGCCUCCGGUACCAACAAGCAUCAGACAUAAAAAAAGGGACCUUUCAGCUUCAUAUGUCAAGGUUCCAGAUCGCUAUGUUGACGCUAUCUUCUAACCACCACGUUAUAUAUCCUUCUUGUUGCACUUGCACCACAAAACCUCUAUAUUUCAUUUUCAGAUCUCUUUUUCUAUGUAUACGUAAACAUAUCUAUAUAGUAUAUAUACGUUAUUGGAAUUCUUUGCUAAGAACUUGAAAUGAAGCAAACAGUCUUAUUAGGUAACACAAAAAAAAAAGAAGUUUUUUUCAGAUUUCUCAAUGUUCUUUUACCAAAAUAUGUUAUUGUUCUUUUUUUCCGCCAAAUAUGGUAUUGUUCAUAUUCAAGGUCCGUGAGCUUUGCUUCAGAGUAGUAGGCUUUGGAUACUUUUGAUAAAACCCCAUAUUGUAUGUCAAGGCCCAUUAAGAUGCGGAUCCAAGCCUUGACGUUUAAACAAAUAUAAGUCUUCUCGUAGGUAACAUCAAAGGCCUAUUAGCUCAGUUGGUUAGAGCGUCGUGCUAAUAACGCAAAGGUCACAGGUUCGAUCCCUGUAUAGGCCAUUACUUUUUAUAUUUUUAGUCAUCGUCGUUCCAACUUCCCCAACCAUCAUCAAUAUUUGAUUUUCAUUCCACUCAGGUGGUCACUUCACCAGUAGAGUUUUUGUGUGAAUUGAUAACAAAAAUGUUUGUAAGCUUAAAUUUUUCCUGUGCAUAGUAAAACAAAAAAACCAAGCACUGUAAUCUCUUCUUGGAGAUUUUUUUAGCCACCAACACUGUUCAUUCGUCUAACUUAACUUUUUUUUUUUUUUUUGAUAAACCCUAUCGGCUGAUCCGGUCGGCCUCGGUAGGAACACACCGAGGUGCUACAGAGUGGACUUCUUCCGAUCCAGGUAGAAUUGGGUCACCACACUGGCUGAUCCGAGUUUGGAAUGCCUUCCGACUAAUGCCAGGGGUAGUCAGGCCGCCUGCAUUUCUGACUACCAGGUAAACCAAUUGGGCCAAGGUCCAACUGAGUAACUGACAGACUUCCCAAACAAAUGUGUUUUUGUUUCCAGGGAGAAUCGAACUCGGGUCUGGGAGUUUCACCCAAAUUCACUUCCACACAAUACAAAUUUGUAACAAAGGUUAAUGAAUUCUUGUGAUUUAUCAACAAACAAAAAUAACCAAAAUGUGACAUAUGAGAGACUAAGUUGUUGUAGACUAAUGGUUAUCACUUAAAAUGUAAAAAAAUUUCGUAGGUCUAGAUCAAGAAUCGAUUACUCUCAAAUAUUUUAAGAAAAAUCUGCACUUUGUAGUACAUUGGUUACCCUUAGAUAUUUUAAAUAUUUUUAAAAGCUAUGAUUUUUAUGGGUUCUGGAAAUUAAUUUUGAUUUUAAUUUAGUAUUUCUCUGUUUGAAAAAGAAAAGCAACUAAAUAAAAUAGAAAACAUGUAGAAAAAAUCAUGAUAUUUUUGCCUGUCCAAUUGUGAAAGUAGAUGGUUGGAUCUUUGUGUUUGGCAAAAUGGCAAUAGAAACGUAGAUCUAUAUUAUGACAAAACAAAAAAAAAAUCGAAGAGGCAAAAGCGCCAAUCUGUUAACUGAUUCAAAGCCACUCCUUCCAUAUCUUUGUUCAUAAACAAACGCUUAUCUUCUUAUCAUCUUCAAAAGUUUUCUCUUUUGCCUCUCAACAUUACAUGCCCUACAACAUAAAUGCGAGGACGUCGGUUAUAAACGGACACUAACAAAAUUAUGUCGUUUAUUCAACCGACUUGCUAAGGGCCAACGUAAGUUAUAUAGCCUGGAUUACGGAUUACCUACCAUGAAAUAUCUCAAUAAUAAGUCUUAUUCUAUGUUCCAUAAUCAUAAGAUUAUAAUUUCAUUCAAAUAUACUUCUUUGAAAUAAUACUGAUAUUUAAUAAAUAGUAUUGGGUUUCUUCAAAUUAUGCAUGCUUCGGAUAUUUGAUUAACUUUGUUUCACGAACUCUAAAGCCCUAAAUUAAUAUGAAUAAUUUUAAAAAUAAGUUUAUCAAAGAUAUAGCUUUAUUGCUGGCAACAAAAAAGGUAUAGCUAUAUUGCAAGAUCUUAUACUAUUAUUUGGGGAGUACACUUUAUAAGAUACCCUUAACUAACCUUUCCUUUUGUAAGAAUUUACUUAAGAAUGCCAUUACAAAAAUCUUCUUUUAGAACAAAUUUCAUUCAAUUUAUUAAGAAUAAACAAGUAAAGUACUAGUUUAUGUCAUUUAAUUAAUUUGACUAAAUUAUAAAACGAAAAUUUGUUAUUAUUUUUUUUAAAUGACCAAUCAAAAUGAACAUAUAAGAUUUGAUAUCUAACUUAUCAUAUUAAUUUGUUAUUAAUCAUUAAACUUCACCUCUCAUCUUAAUAUGAUUAUAUUAAUAUGAAAAAAACUAAAUCAUCAUAUCAUCUACAUAAUAAAAAAAAAGUAAUUUUUUUUUCUGCAUAUGCCAAGAUUUGAAUUUUUAAAAACGCAUAUAAAUUGUUCAAUCUAUAAAGGAAACAAUUAAACGGGUCAAAAAUUCAGACUUGAGUAGUAUAUUUCUUUUACACAAAAAUAAAGUCAACAAAAAUUCCGACUGAGCAACAGGUCAGAAUUUGAAUAUUUAGAUUCGAUUUCAUACAUUUAUUUUUUUGAAAUGCAUAAUUUUAUAUACUACAAUAAAAAUUUAAAUAUUUUAAUUUGCAACAAUUAAAAUAAGUUUUACUUGAUAUUUUUAGAGAAUAUCAUCAAUACUUAAUAGUUCAAAAAGUUAAAAAUUAUAAAUACUCUAAUUUGAUUAUUUUUAAAAAUAUUUAUAAUAGUUAGCGGGUUAAAUAUAAUAUAUUAUACGAUGAAAUGAGUUUUGAUCCAUAUAACUAUUUGAAUAGUUAUAUUUAAUUUCAUACAAUUUGUUUUUUGAAAUUCAUAAUUUUAUAAACUACAAAAAAAAUUUAAAGGUUUUAAUUUGGAAUAUUUAAAAAUAGUGUAGAACAUUUAAAUAUGGUUUGACACCUCUAAAUAUUUGAAAAUUUGAUUCUGCAAGCAAUUUUAGAAUUAACGAAUAAUAGAUUGUGCACGCAAUAUUUUAAAAUGAAAUAUUGAGAUUCUAAAAUAAAAAUAUAGACUCCACGCACGGGUUGAUUUUUGUAUUAUUAUAUACUAAAUAUAUGUUUUUAACAUAUUUGAUUAUGCGAAUAAUUGGUAAAUUCCGUAAUUAUAAAUCUCAAACAAAUUCUGUAAUUAGAUUAGCUCAAACAAAUCUCUAUUUCAACAACCAAAGAAUCAUAAAUUGAAAAAGAAUUUUCUAAAUUAAUUCAAAAUAAUUGCUAAUUUUCUUAAUUAAUUCAAAAUAAUCUAUGUUUUAUAUGGGAUUCAUUUAUGAUAUUUUAAUUUUUGAUCUAACUGAAAUAUAUGCAAUCCUAUUUUGUGGUUGUUAACAUAAAUUAACUCAUUGUUCAAAAAAUAUUACUUUUCAAGAAAUAAAAUUAUUUUCUGUUUUCAUAUCUUAAAAAAAUUUAUCUAUAAUUGAGUAUUAUAAAAAAAGUUCUAUAUUUAUUCUAAUAUUGUAUACAGGGACUGACAAAAAAAUUAAUAUUUUUUCACUUACUAUUAUAAUAUAUUAAAACUUAGUUCUAAUAUAUGUAUUAUAUAAAUUUUGUAAUAAAUAAAAUUCAACCCGUACUUUAGUACGGAUGAUGAUCUAGUUAAAUAUAUAUAAGGAUAUCUCUAUAUUAUAUUCGUUAAUUGUGAUUUGUCUGGUUUAGUUUUCAACGAACAAAUAGUUAAAUAAUACUUUCUUUGUUUCUAAAUAUAAAAUUUUAGAGUUUUUAUUCUGUUUUAAAAUAUAAAAUUUAUUCACGUUUCUAUGCAUAUAUUUAUUUUCAUACUGUUAAAAGUAUCUAGUCAAAAAAAGCCAAAGAUCAAUCACAACUCGUAUUGAUGGCUUCCGAAAUUUUAAUGUGACUAUUAGUAUUCUUUCUCUACGAAUGAUUUUUGUUUAUCAAAUGAUGUUUUUGUUUAAGAAAUAAUUCUUUUUUAAUUUGUGUGUUUUAACCAAAAUAUCAUAUAUUUUAUUUUGAUAUUCAUCGUAACUUUCCAAAUUCAUAUCUCAAUGAAAAAUUAAAAGUUUUUAAAUACGGAAAACACAACUUACAAUCUAUGAAAGUUAUUUUAUCGACAAUCGUAGUACAUAUUAUAUAUAGUUUUAGGAAUUGAAAUAUCAUCAUUCUUCUAAUGAGAACCCUAUAAAUACCCACUAAACACUUGAAGAAAACUAAAUACAGUACUAAUUCACCUAUUGUUGGAGCUAUUCCACUCGACAAACAAAUGACUCCAAGAACCUCUCUUACACUCUUCCUUGCUCUCAACCUCCUCUUCUUCACUUACACAUCUGCCGCAUUAUUGCCACCGAUCCCGGGCAUCUCGGGCAUCCCGGGCAUCCCGGACAUCCCGGGCAUCCCGAACAUCCCGGGCAUCCCGGACAUCCCUGGCAUCCCGGACAUCCCGGGCAUCCCAGCCACGCCAAACACCCCAGCCAACCCAGCCACGCCAAACACCCCAGCCAACCCAGCCACGCCAAACACCCCAGCCAACCCAGCCACGCCAAACACCCCAGCCAACCCAGCCACGCCAAACACCCCAGCCAACCCAGCCACACCAAACACCCCAGCCAACCCAGCCACACCAAAAACCCCGGCCACGCCAAACACCCCGACCACGCCAACGACCCCUGCCACUCCAGCCACCCCAGCAACGCCAAACACACCAGCAACACCGACCACCCCAACGUCUCCGACACCCCGCACACCUCCAGGCACAGGUUCUUUAUCCUAGAGAUGCUCUAAAGAACGGUGUUUAAACUAGUGGACCUAGAUUGGAAUCUCACCUAAGCCAUGUUGCUCAUCUAAGGCUUGUUGACCUUGAGUCUUCAUUAUUCCUCUAUCUCUUCUUUGUAAUUGUGUCUUUUCAAUUUGAAUAAUAAAAUUAUAUCAACCGACCCAUGUUAUUGUUUAUAUUUGGUUAAUAUGUGUGCAACUUAUGCAUUUGCUGAGUAUCUUGAAUUUCCAAAGUUUGUUUUGUUUUAAGAAAUUAUGUCGCACAUAAUUUAGACAACAUUAAAAUAUUUUCUAUCUUUUAUCAUUUUUCAAAGACACUGUGUUAACUUUUUCUAUAGCAGUGCGAGUAGUUGAGCCACGAUAAAUCUCCAACACGAUACCACUGGCGUCCUCGCCACGAGGUAAAACGUCGGGAGGCUUCUCUAGAUAGUCUAGACUGCCGAGAUGUUUGGGUUAAAUGCAUCAUGAAGCGGAUAAUCCACGCCUCAUCACUGCCGGAGAAGAAAGCCUUCUCACCAACGCUUCACCAAAAAAAUCCACACCUUCAAUGAGGAUCUAAAAGCAACAAAAAAAACCCGGAAGUAAAUCUUUUUUUUUCCAAAGAUCCAAAGAGAGAAAAGAGAGAAGCGAUAGAACGAUUGUCCUAUGCAACAAAUUUUGAAUAUGUGGUGUCUAGAAAACUAAUGUGAAAAAGUGCACUUCCAACUCUAUACUUGCCAAUGGUUCCAUAAAAACCAUAACAUAUAAAAAUGAUGGGAAAUUUCUUCAUCAAACUAGAUAGCAAACGUUAUACUUUUUUAGUGAUUUUUUUUUUGUAAACAUGCAUGGCAUACCACAUAUCUUUUUAAAACUUCACCAACGUUCAGAUCAGGUCCAAUAGUAAUUAUAUAUCACAAGAAAUAAUAACAUUUUGGCACAGUAGUAACCAUGACUAAUAGCUUUGAAUUGUCCUGAAUGUUCUUAGAUUUUGCCCAUGCCGAAGGCUAUGUUGAAAUAAAACUUGGGAGAGAUGGAGACAGAGAACAAACAUUAAACAUAAAAAAAGACCUUACAGCUUCAUAUGUCAAGGUUCCAGAUCGUGAGGCAAUUCCCAUCUUCCUCGGCUUGUGGACCAGGCUUUACACGUACCUAAAUCAGAAACAGCACAAGUAGCAAGUCAAAGAGAGAAUCACCAGAGAUAAUUACAUAAGUCUGCAAUUCUAUAUAAUGAAACGUCUGGAGAAUGCAAGAUUGGAAUUAUGCCCGGUAUUUAGUUAUAUUUCAAAUUGACUUAAGCGUAACUUUUUUCUCUUAUUUGGCUUGUUCUAGUUCUUUAACGAACCGUAUUAAACCGGGUAUUUAGUUGGGAAAAGGGUGAGGCCAUAAAUUGAACCGUCAUUUUGGUAAUUUGAAUCCAUAUAGUCAACAAAACGAUGUUGUUUGGUUAAAAAAAAAUAACAUUGGUAAAGACAAAAUGAUACUUCAUUGUAACCGUGUUAUAGCAUGUGCAAUGGGAGUCUCUUACCAAAAUCUCUCAAGUAAAAGAAAAAUAAUAGAAUAAUAAAAAAUAUUACUUAAUUGUGAGAGUCUCUCAAAAAAUAAAAUAAAAAAACUCUCACUUGAAAGACUCUCACCACUUUUUUGACACACUCUCACAAUUAGAUAAUAUUUUUUUAUUAUUUUAUUACUUUUCAUUUAUCUAAGAGACUUUAACGAAAGACUCCCACUGCACAUACUCUUAAGUUUAUGAGCUCAAAUGACCAAAAUAGUGUUACACUUCAUCACUAUCGCGUAAUCUAAGCUAAGUGAGCGAAAACAAACUGUUGACUAAUUUUGUUUAAGUCAAUAUAGUUUUACGUUCAAAUCUAAUUUUUUCGAUAGUUUAUUUGGAUAUCAAUUGAAAAAAAACUAUAACUUUGUUGAAGUAUAAAAAUACACUUUACAAUUUGCUCGGGUUGAAAUUCACCAUUUUCUUUAUUUAGUUCUAUGUCAAAAAGAUUAGUAUUAAUUCCAGAGAAAAGAGUCACCAAUUCCGGCCCAUUAAAUUGGUACUUGAUCUUUCGAUGAGUGCGUCUCAGUUCGAGGAACGAUAUUGGUACCUUGCACGCACAGAGAUUCACUGAAUUGAGGUAAUAUAAAUUACCUUUUUUUCAAAAUAUCUUAAACCAAAUCAUGCAGUUUUUUUUUUUUUUUUCUCAAUCCGAACCAUGCAUGAAACCUUCUUAAUGACACAGAGGGACUAAAAGACUUUCAUGUGCGUUGCUAAACGAGUUUAAUGGAGGUGGAGCCAUGAAGUUACUUUUAGCCACUCAAUAAGGUUCAUAUGGGAGAUUCGUUCCCUGGUUUUGGAUCGGAGCAGCUACAAUGGGUAGUUCCAUUAAUCUCACCGAUUAAUAACUGAAUGUUUGAUUCUGAUAAUUAUAACAUUGUUGUAAACUGUGUUGUUCUAUUGAUUAAUGAAUGAGAUUUCGAUACAUAUAUAUACAUGAUGAGGGGAGACAAAUCCCCAUUGGGCUAGUAAACCCUAAAGCCCAAAAGCCCACUAAGUACAAUAUAGGCCGUCAUAAGGAGAAUCUUCAAGAACAUGGGCAUGGGCCUUCUAGGACAUGGACAUGGGCCUUCUAGAAUAUGCAUAAGGUCCACGGUUAUGGAGUCCAUCCAACAUGUGGUUUAUAACACUCCCCCUUGGAUGACAUAACCGUGUAGAUGCCAAAAGGAUCUCAGUAAUACGCUUGGGGAUGCUGCCUCAUUAAAACCUUACCAGGAAAACCCAUUGGGACAAAACCAUGGUUAAGGAAAAAGAGUACAGCACGUAUUACUCCCCCUGUUUUGGUCAUCCCUGCAAGUCCUUAAGUCUCCGCAUUCCAAUUUGAUGCGUGAGCUUCCUCAAUGUCGAUGUUGGUAACGCCUUGGUGAAGAGAUCGACUGAGUUGUCGCUGGAUCGAACUUGUACCACUCAAACUUCUCCAUCCCUUUGCAAGUCAUGCGUGAAGAAGAACUUGGUUAGAAUGUGCUUCGUCUGAUCUCCCUUGAUGUAGCCGUCCUUGAGCUGAGCGAUACAGGCUGUGUUGUCUCCUCAUAUGAUGGUCUUUGAUGUUGUAGUAGCUGCGCCUUGAAGAAGGCUGCCUACGUACCCUUGGAAGGGAUCAAGCCACACGUAGUUCCUAUCUAUUGACCAUGCCAUAAUCUGAUUUUACCUGCAUCAGCAAAACAAACUAAACCAAAGCAAACUAGACCUUCUUUGGUUAGAUCAGUAUAGAAUAAAACCCAAAUAAACAAACAUAGGAAGAAUAGAAUUUAAAAUUUAACCAAACCUUCCUUCAAACCUUUCUAGUGCCUUUGGGUUGAUCAUGAACUAAAUUUAGGCAAAGGAGGUUCACGGCAAAACAUAUGUCUGGUCUAGUGUGGCUAGCCAAGUACAUUAACGCUCCUAUGGCACUAAGGUAUGGCACUUCAGGAUCGAGAACUUCUUCCUCAUCCUUCUUUGGACCGAAUGGAUCACUAUCCAAUCCGAGGCUUCUCACCACCAUUGGGCUGCUCAAUGGGUGGGCCUGGUCCAUAUUGAAUCUCUUGAGUACUUUUUCAGUAUAUGCCUUUUGAUGCACAAGGAUUCCAUUAUUCACGUACUCAAGUUGCAAUCCCAAACAGAAUUUUGUCUUGCCCAGGUCUUUCAUCUCGAAUUCUUUCUUUAGAUAUUUGACUGUUUGGGCGAAUUCCCCCAGAGGUUCCAAGGAUGUUUAAAUCAUCCACAUAUACUGCUAUUAUCACAAACCCUUUGUUUGCAAAUUUCUUUAUGAAGAUACAUGGACUGAUGGGAUCAUUCUUAUAACCUUCUCUGACUAGGUACUCGCUUAAUCUAUUGUACCACAUGCGUCCACUUUGUUUCAGUCCAUAAAGUGAUUUGUUCAGCCUUAUGCAGUAUUGGUCUCGAGACCCUUUCUUAUCUUUAUCUUUGAGCUCAAUACCCUCUGGUAAUCUCAUAUAUAUCAUCCAGUGGACUUAUAUAAAUAUGCAGGCAUUACAUCCAUUAGCCGCAAAUCAAGUCUUUUUCUUUAUAUAGCCAGACUUAGCAAAAUUUAAAUGUCUUAGCAUCCACCAUAGGGGAGUAUGUUUCUUCAUAAUCUAUCCCCGGUCUUUGUGAGAAUCCUUGUGCUACAAGCCGUGCCUUAUAUCUCACGAUUUCAUUAUUCUCAUUUCUCUUCUUCACAAAGACUCAUUUGUGUCCUACUGGUUUUUACAUCGAAUGGUGUCCUUAAGGUCGGACCAAACUCAUUCCUUUUCUUAAUGAUUCUUAGCUCCACGUUUUAUGGUCUUGUACCAUUUAAUCAAUCAAGUCUUUGAGUGCACUCUAGUAUAGACGUGGGCUCCUGAUCCUCAUUUAUAUUCAUAAAUUCAAGUGCUACCUUGCAUGCAAAAUCAUCUUAUGUCGACAUUUCUUAUAUGUUCCAUUAUGUUCCAGACAUGAUAUAAUCGAUUUGAGAUUUAUUAUGGUCAGGACCUUUAAUACUUUGCAGCUUGGCGUCCCAAGCUACAUUAUAUGGUACCUGUACCUUAGAGCCGGCCGGCCUUAUCUCCAUGUCUGGGAUGGUUUCCUUAGUAACCUCGGAUUCCUAUUGCACCUUUCUUUGAUUUUCGAGGAUUUUUAUCUUUGGAACCUAUUGGUCUACCACGUUUCUUUCGUGUGUUAGACUCGGUAGCAAUUUCAUUGAUUCGCUUUUGGAUAUCAAUACGUACUGGUGCAUUACAAGCUGGUAUGUACGUUUUUGUAACUUUCUUUGGGUCAGCAAAGGAAUCUGGCAAUUGAUUAGCUAGCUUUUCAAAUGUAUAAUCUUAUGGACCUCUGAUUCUCAUGCCAGAGUCCGAGGAUCUUGCCAAUUUAAGGAUGUUUGAUUUCAUUAUAUUUCUUUUAUUGCUUUACCCAGCUUGUUCGUCUCUCCACCUAUAGUAGGAAACUCGGAUUCAUUAAAAUGACAAUCCGCGUAUCUAGCCUUAAAUAGAUCACCCGUAGUUGGCUCUAGAUACUUAAUAAUGGUGGGAGAAUCAAAUCCAACAUAUAUUCCCAUCCUCCUUUGAGGUCCCAUCUUUGUUUCUAUGUGGUGGAGCAAUCGGUACAUAUAUGGCACACCCGAAAGUCUUUAGAUGGGAUAUGUCUGGCUCAUGACCCAUAAGUAAUUGGGAUGGUGAAUAUCUAUGUUCACUAGAUGGCCUUAUGCGUAUAAGUUCUGAUGCAUGUAAAACAGCGUGUCCCCAAGCGGCUACUGGGAGCUUCGACCUCAUGAGUAAUGGUCGAGCUAUCAAUUGAAUUCGUUUAAUGAAGGAUUCCGCUAAUCCAUUCUGUGUAUGUACAUGUGCUACGGGAUGUUCCACACUUACCCCCAUGGACAUACAGUAGUCAUUAAACGCUUGGGACGUGAAUUCACCGGCAUUGUCUAGACGUAUAGUCUUAAGCGGAAAAUCUGGAAAGUGGGCUCGCAGUCUUAUUAUCUGGGCCAAUAACCUAGCAAACACUUGGUUUCUAGUAGAUAGGAGACAAACAUGCGACCAUCUUGUCGAUGCAUCAAUGAGGACCAUACAUAUGUCUCCUUGUAUCCUUUCCAGAAAUUUUAAGGUCUCUUUAUUUACCUUAGCCGGUGAUGGCCUUAUAAUGAGUUUCCCUUGUGAACAUGCUUCACACGUGAGAUUCUUAGGGAUAACUCUUUUCUCUCUUAGGGUGUGCCCCUUUGAAUUAGUUAUUAGUUUACGCAUCAUACUAUGACCCGGAUGGCCAAGCCGGUCAUGCCAUAAAGUGAAUUUCUUGAUGAACUCUUUGUUCAUUGCCAUAUUAGCUUCGAUCAUAUCGAUUUUAGCAUAGUAGAGACCAGUGGAUAAUGCGGGUAUAGUCUCUUAGGACUUUCUUAUGUCCUUGGGUGAUCUCAAUUAUAUUUAGGAAUUCUUUGUUCCCUUCACCCUUUGUUUCAAUAUGGAACCAUUCAAUCUUAUAUUUUUGAAACUUGACAAGCUCCUCUUCGAGCUGGGUGAUAUAGGCAUUUGAUUACAAUAGCNNNNNNNNNNNNNNNNNNNNNNNNNNNNNNNNNNNNNNNNNNNNNNNNNNNNNNNNNNNNNNNNNNNNNNNNNNNNNNNNNNNNNNNNNNNNNNNNNNNNNNNNNNNNNNNNNNNNNNNNNNNNNNNNNNNNNNNNNNNNNNNNNNNNNNNNNNNNNNNNNNNNNNNNNNNNNNNNNNNNNNNNNNNNNNNNNNNNNNNNNNNNNNNNNNNNNNNNNNNNNNNNNNNNNNNNNNNNNNNNNNNNNNNNNNNNNNNNNNNNNNNNNNNNNNNNNNNNNNNNNNNNNNNNNNNNNNNNNNNNNNNNNNNNNNNNNNNNNNNNNNNNNNNNNNNNNNNNNNNNNNNNNNNNNNNNNNNNNNNNNNNNNNNNNNNNNNNNNNNNNNNNNNNNNNNNNNNNNNNNNNNNNNNNNNNNNNNNNNNNNNNNNNNNNNNNNNNNNNNNNNNNNNNNNNNNNNNNNNNNNNNNNNNNNNNNNNNNNNNNNNNNNNNNNNNNNNNNNNNNNNNNNNNNNNNNNNNNNNNNNNNNNNNNNNNNNNNNNNNNNNNNNNNNNNNNNNNNNNNNNNNNNNNNNNNNNNNNNNNNNNNNNNNAUGGGGUUAAUCUAUGAGGUCAUAACUCACUGUUUUUAUCUGUAAGUCAUUAUUUUUAUUUUUUUUUCAUCUAGCAAUAGACUCAUCCACGGACUUAUAGUCCUGGAUUAUGAGACUCUCAAUAAGAUGGUGGCUAAUAUUGUCUUGUAUCUAUCUUUCUCUCUUGGCAUUCUUGCCUUAUUAGAUACAUUCACCAAGUCCUUUUGACUUUAGGAUAAUCUUAGUAUCCAUUGCCCAUUUUAAAAUAAUUAUCUCCUAAGAAAUUUAGGGCAGUAAAGUACAAGUUGUAAUUCAACAUCUACAAGGAAAAGUUUUGAGUCAAAAUCAUGUAAUCGUUAGUGUCAUGCGGUAUUUGAGACCGAACCAUGAAUCGAUUUACUUAGGGAUUUGACUUUCCUCUUUUGCUUAGGAUUAGAUUUCCUCUUUUUAUUAGGAUUAACUUUUCCUUUUCCUUUUUAGGAUUUACUUUCCUCUUUACUUUAGGAUUAAUUUUCCUAUUUCACUUAUGAUUUUAGAUUUUAAGAUUUCCUAUUUUAAUUAGGAUUUGGAAAUUUUCUAUUUCUUAAAGUUUUCCUAUCUUGAAUAGGAUUUAUGAAUUUCCUAAUUUAAUUAGGAUUUAGAGUACAAUAGGAUUUAGGAUUUUAUUUAGGUUUUCAUGCUUUCUAUUAGAAUUUUAAAGUUUCCUAUUUUAUUGAGGAUUUUAAGAUUCCCUAUUUAGGAUUUAGGGUUGUUAAGAUUUCCUAUUAUCUAGGGUUUCCUAUUUUAUUUAGGAUUUUAAGGUUUCCUAGAUUUUAGGGUUUCCUAUUUUAUUUAGGAUUUUAGGUUUUAGGGUUUUGAGACCUUUAAAGUUUCGGUUAUUAGCUUAUGUAUUUUCGUUUUGCGAUUUUAGGUUUAGACAAUUAAAACUUCUCUAGCAACUUAGGCGAGUUUAGCUUAAGCGAUAAUCAACUUUUUCUAGCAACCUAAACGAGUCAAACAAUCGAGCAAACAAGCAAUCGGAUCAAACAAGCAAUCAAAUCAUACAAGCAAAGCAAUCACUUAAUCAAUCAUCAUUCGUUUUAGGGUUUCUCUUUGCUUAACUUUCAAGUUCAAUUGUUGGUUCUUUAGCUUUAGGGUUUUGAUGUUACCUUUCACCUUAUGGGGUUGUAUGGACUAGAACCGGGAGCUAAAGACCUCGGUAACUCACGCUGCUGCAACGAACCGCAAACAGUACCACGAUGAACAGUACCACGAUGAACAGUGUCGCGAUGAACAGUGUCGCGAUGAACAGUGUCGGCGAUGAACAGUGUCGGCGAUGAACUGUGCCGCGAUGAACAGUACUGCGAUGAACAGUAUCGCGAUGAACAGUGUCGGCGAUGAACAGUGUUGCGAUGAACAGUGUCGGCGAUGAAUAGUGUCGGCGAUGAACAGUACGGCGAUGAACAGUAUCGUGAUUUUUAGGGUUAGGGUUUUAGGGUUUUCGUUAAAAGCAAGUCGUGCUGAUAACGUGUUGUAAACUGUGUUGUUCUAUUGAUUAAUGAAUGAGAUUUCGAUACAUAUAUAUACAUGAUGAGGGGAGACAAAUCCCCAUUGGGCUAGUAAACCCUAAAGCCCAAAAGCCCACUAAGUACAAUAUAGGCCGUCAUAAGGAGAAUCUUCAAGAACAUGGGCAUGGGCCUUCUAGGACAUGGACAUGGGCCUUCUAGAAUAUGCAUAAGGUCCACGGUUAUGGAGUCCAUCCAACAUGUGGUUUAUAACAAACAUGUAGAUGAUGGUCCUGCUAUGCAUGGAAACAAUUAUAUAUGCAUAUAUACAAUAAUAGUUAAUGCACAAAUAAUAUUCUCUGUAUAUUAAAAGAUAGUAGUCAUUGUUGUUUAUGUGUAAGCCCACAUUUUUCUAAGUAAUUUUAUUUUUUAUUUAUUUAAUUCUACAAUUAUACUAACCAAACACUUCUAUAAUUCUUAUUAUAUAAAACAUAUUGCCAAACAUAUAUAAAUACUACUAAACUUACCAUAUGUAAAUAUUUUGAAUUUAACAUCAUACAAAUUCUUUCCUAAUUAUAAAACACCAUAUUGAAAACACAAUAUUAAUUAUAUGCCUAAACUUAUGACAUAUUUAUUUGUAAAAUAUAUUCCAUUAAAUUAUAUGACUUAAAAUUUGAUACAUAUUUAUCAUAUAAAUAUCAUGUACUACGGACAUCUAUAUAUUUAUUAAUAUAAAUUAUUUUUUAAAAAAUGAACAUAACUAAUUUGUAUACAUUUCUUUGAUAAAAGUCUUAUAUAUAUGCCUCUAAUGAUUUAUUUUUAUAUAUGAAAUAUAUAAUUUAUAUUGAAGUACGAUUAUUAACCUCACAUAUGUGUGUGCUAUAUAUAUAUGUAUAUAUAUAUAUAUAUUAAUUGAAAUUCGUUAAACCAUUAGUACCAAUUUGGCCCAGAGAUCCAAUAAUCUAGCUGGAAAAACUCCGGUUCGAUUUUUGAUUUGUGUUUAAAACAUAUUAUAGAGCCAAAUACAGUCACUAUAUACUCUUGAAAUAAAGUAAAAAAAAUUAAUAAACUAAUCUAAUAUAUUCUUUUUUACCAUAAAUACGAUUAUUUAUAAAAUUAUAUCGCAUAAAAUUUAUCCCGUGCAUAGUACAAGUUCUUACCUGUUUUAAUUAUUGAAAAAUCAUAUUUUUAACCUUCAAAGUGUCACCGGAUAACACUUUAAACCUCGAAAGAAUUUUACUAACACUAUAAACCACCAAGAUAAUUUUAAUAACACUUUAAAUCUCCAAAUUUACUUUCUGUUUGUACCGCCCUAAAAAUGACGGAACAAUUAAUUUCUGUUUGUUUCAUAUAAAUUUAUUUAAUUUUAUUUAAAUUUAAAACAAUUUUUUAUUUAUUAAAAUGGUGGUUUAUAAUGCGAGUGGAAUUAUUUCGAGGUUUAAAGUGAUUUCUAAUGACACUUUGAGGAUUAAAAAUGUUAUUUUUGCUUUGAUUAUUGUAUAUCUUGAUAGGGAUGAUAGCAUAUGAAGAUUUGUUUUGUACAUGUGAGAAAAUAAAUUAAAUGUUUCUGUUUUUGAAGUUUUAUAUAUUGUUGUUCAUUAUUAUUAUAUGAAUUAAUAUUUGUUAUAUCACAUUAAACUUACCAUAUCUUAUAUUUUAUGCACAACGUUUAUUAGUAAUUAAGCUUAAUUACUACUAGAUAUCUAAAUAUCGCAAUAUAUUAUUUUGAAAGUACUAAUAUCCCUAAAUAAUAGUUGCCUUGGCGAAUGAGAAGUUCUUUAUUCAUGUUAAAGCCACAGACGAAAAUACAGAAGAACAUGGUCGUUGUCAAAUACAUCAAAGUCACACAUCAAACAUUAAAAAAAAAAAAAAAGAACCGGAAAAAACAAUAUAUAUAUAUAUAUAUAUAUAUAUAUAUAUAUAUAUAUAUAUAUAUAUAUAUAUAUAUAUAUAAUCUACAUAACAAUAUUAGGAAUAGAAACAAGAUUCAGAGCAAUAAUAUCCAUUAUGGAUGGAAUUUUUAUUCCAUGUUUCCAAGAAGAACGGGAAUAUGCAACGAGACUUGCACUGUUUGCAGAGUGGUCGAGACAUACUGUUGUUGCGAACCACCUUAAAAUCUCUUGGGACGUGGUGGACGUACUCAUCUUCAGCGAUUCCAGGCUUGAGACCUCGGAAAUCACCGAGCACACAAUCCGUAUGCAAAGUAAGCUCACAAUCUUUAGAGGUGUAAAACCAUGUUUUUGGAUCUGUUUCUUUCUCACAAAUAUCACACCAAUAUUUACCACUUGCAUUUUCUUCACCAUAGCAUAAAGAGAGAAAGUGAUGGUCGACACUAUGUUUUACCUCAUAUGGUAAUAGAGCACAUUUGUAGUCCAUGACAUAUCCACAAUCAUCUUCAACGCAUCUGAGCACAUGAUGUGCUUCUUUUUUGCAAACACUGCAAACUCCUCGUGGUGAUGUGUAAAAUAAGGGAUGAGGAUGACUUUUAUGGACAAAUGGCUCAGUAACUGAAGCACAGCGCACAUCCAAUAUGCUUCUUGUAGCAUCGUAUUUAAAACCAUUGGAAAGUAAUCCACAAGCCAUACAUCUAAAGAAAUAAUCCCAGUAUUUAUAUCUAUACCGUUCAUUGCUUACCACAUGCCGUUUCCAUAAAGGUAGAUUAGCGCAACUCUCAUGAAGAAUGAAACUACAACUCAUGCAGCUGUAGAAAGAAUGGUGAUAGAUAGGAUAAACGCAUGCCUCACAAAUCCUAUCCUUGAUAAAGAUACCAGACUUAUCAAGUCUUAGGUUAUGCUCUUUAUGGCUAACAUGAUGUAUUGUGUUUUCAUCGAUUACUGUGAAUGGUUGAAUAUCUUCCUCUUCUUCAGGUUCGUUUUUCAUUUCUUUGCCGUCCCAUACAUCUUCUCUAGUUGCGCAUUUUGUAUGAAAAACAUAGCUUGGACACCUCUUACAAGAAUAACCCCCACAACUCCAAUUAAUCCAUUUUCUUGCGACAAAUUCCACAUACCGAAUUCACCACACCAAUAAGAGAAGUGCGUGAAACCCGAUGAUAGUGGCGGUUGAUGUUUAUAACCCAUGGAAAUCUAGAGCAAUCAUUGUGGAUAGUGAAAUCGCAUGGAAGACAUACGUAUGGGCUCCGAUCUCCAUUUAGCCCGCAAGUGGUACAAGUAAAAGAGAUGGAUUUUGGCAUAAGGGUGAGUUGAUGGUCAUGGAUGUUUAGGUCGUGAGGAUUUUUUUUUGGUGGAUGAAAAACACAUUGGAGAUCUAAGCUAAAGUUACAAGUGGAACAAUGAUAAAAGACUUCGGAAUUAGCAAGUUUUUCUCCACACAAACGACAUUUUCCAUCAGUAUAAGCAGGUGGUUCAUCCUUGAAGAGUUUUAGAGGGUGUAAGGAGUGGGAAAAAUGGGUUACCUCUGCUGGAUACUUUUCGCAAUUUACAUGAAACUUCAAAUUGCAUUCGUGACAUUUGUAGGAAUAUCCAUCACAAUCUUUUCCACAAGCUGCACAAGUGAAGCAGCUUCUCACCGUCUCUAGCUUGAGUUUAUGGUCAUGGUGCUGAGGAACAUCAAUGACCUCCGACGGUGGAUACUUAGCACAGUUGAAAUGGAAAUAUGAAGAGCCAAAUCUUCCUUUUCUUGUAGGUACCAAAACACAAUCGUUACAUAUAAAAAUAUAGCUAUCGUAGAUCUUCUCUCUACAUCCUGCACAUCUCCUCUCGCCGCUAUAGAAAUUGAAAGUAUGAUAUAGAAUGUUGCCACACGUUUGAGAAGGGUGGGGGAUAUUCUCAUUGUUGGCGCAUGUCUUGUGGAAUAAACCAAAAACACAUGAGUCGCACUUGUAGCCAUCAGUUACACCUUUGAAUUUGAGUCCGCACCAAUCACACUUCGACUCUAUUUUCACAGGCGUUAAUGGAUGCUCGUGGAACGGUAAGUUUAUCUUCAAAGGCUCCAUGACAUACGUAAUUAUUACAAGUUUUACGUAGAUCAGAAAAAGGAGUGAAAAAAGGAAGAAAAGAAAGAAAGAGAAAAAGUUGAAUAUAAUCUUCAAAACUAUAUAUGCUCUUUUCCUGUAAAAUAUCGAGCUUAGAUUUCAAGUAAUGGCGGGUUAUAUAACAACUACACUUUUGAUUAUCAAACUAUUAGCUGUUGGGAUAUGUAUAUACUAUUAAAACUAAACUUCAGAUCUAAAUCUAACAGGUAACCACUAACCAUCUACCAUUUAUAUAAUGCUAAAGUCAACGAAGCGCGAUUUACAUGGCAAAAUUAUUUUAUUACUAGAGCUUUGAUGUCCAAGUAAUAGUUUCUACAUUAUUGAUAUCAGAAUAAUUCAAUUUGAAACAUUAUAAUACUACUACUUUUAGAUCUGACGGAUACCUAUUAACAAACCCACCAUUAUUAUGUAUCGUGCCGAAGAUAAUGACGAGUUUCUUAAUUUUAAUAACCUUGCCACUUGAGUUCUAUAUGACCAAAAUAUUUCAUAAGACUUGUUCCGUUGGGUAAGACUUCAUAUAAUAUUUGACUUGAGUUGGCAAAUUAAUUAGUUUAUUUUCUUGAGUCAUUAUAUAUUGGUUUUUUUUUGUCAAUACAUACAUAUAUAUAUAUAUAUGCUAUAAAUUUAUAUAAAAAUUUAAAUUAUUUCUGCUUUAAAUAAACUAUUAUCUUAAAAAAAAUGAAAAUAAACAGCUUUUCCAAAAAAUAAAAUAAAAUAAAUAUGAUUUUUGGUUAUAAUCGAAAGGAAAGAUAACCGUCGGGCGAUUGAAAAAGCGAAACCAGUAACCGUUCUCUUCCUUGGCCUCCAUCUUCUCUGAUUGGUUUAGGGCCGCUGGCACUUGUCGGCGGUUCCGUUUAUUCUCUUUAUUUUUAAUUCAGUUUUAGAUCUGUAAGAAAAAGCAAUUAUGUAUGGAUUCAAAGAGCCUCUGUUCAAUAUACAUGGUGGACGAUCUAUGGAAGUGAACAUGAGCCUUUGGAUGUGUUGGGUCCCUUACCGAAUUGCAAUUUCCAAUGGCUACGCUGUAUUUAUUUUGACAUAUCUUGUCGAUUAUAUGUCAAUUCUAACAUUUAUUGUUAGUUUUGAGUUAGUUUCCGGUGGUAAUCGUGAUCGUUUGGUGGCUUACCGAUGUUUGAAACAAAUCUUUACAGAUUUGUUGUGGAAACGGCGACCGCCUUGGAAACCGCCAUGGAAUCAAAUCAUAAGAACCUUGCAUUUAAUCGAGAUCAUGGAUCUCUCAUGGGCAAUAUUUACAACCAAAACAAUGUCGUCGUCUCACGCGGGUGAUGGAAAUGAUUAUAUGGUUUGCGAUGUAACUGAUGGAUCGCAACUUUUUGAUUUUCAAAAAACGUGUUGGAGUUUCAUAAAAGAGAUGAUAGCCAAACAAGAAAAUCAAACUAGACUGAAGACGAAGACGAUCAAGGAAAAUAACAGAUUGAUAAAUCUGUUAGCGUGUAAGGCUUACCUAAAAAAGAAAGCAACGUGUAAUUUCACUUUUUCGAUUAUUUCGUUGAACUUAAAUAUUGGUUGUAUGGAUUGUAGAGUUCCCACUUGUAUGCUCAUUGAUAUAUUUGUAAUCUCUUUUUAAGAUUAAUAAAGAAGACGUUAAAAAAAAAAAAACCCGUCUCUCGCCUUUACUCCUAAUUCUAUAUAUGGGUGUCUAUUUGGAAUAUCAUAACGAAAAAUAGCACGUAAAUAUCAGAACGUAUAAUUCAAAUAAAUAAAGUACUAUCUAUUCCCUAUAAAAUUGAUAAUUUAAAUAAUGGGAAAGAUUCGGGAAAUUGAUUAAAAAAAAUCACUACUCAAACUCCCACUAAUCUAGGUAAUGGAACAUGUAUUUGAGAAUUCUAAUAAUUUCUUUUUGAAAAAGACAUUUUUUUAAUAAUUUUAGAAUUUUCAAAUACCCAAAUGAAUAAUUUGGAUAUCCUUUUCUAUUUCGGUAUGUGUUAAAAUAAAUUUAGCUGAUAAUUAUUAAAUAGAAAUGUACAUGGGACGAAAACUUAGGGACAUGUACGGGUCAGAACGGACUAGAAAUCCAAAAUGGACAAGCCUACCGAGUUCCUCAAAGAACAAUAUAUCAUACCUAAAUGGUAACACAACAAAGAAAUAUUGCAAGAUUUUGGAUUUUGGUAGUUUUUAUUGGUUUUUAGUUUCUAAUUUUUGGAUUUUGGUUUUUGAUUUUUGAUUUUUGUGGUUUUUGAUUUUUGGUGUAGAUUUUAGUUUUUGCAAAAUCUUGAAUGGUAAUUUGUUUGGUUUUUAGUUUUUCUACAUAAUAUUAAUUUGGUGACGGCAAGUCUUGAGGAAAAAACCCAUAGAAAAGGGUUUUAGUUUUGAAUGAAUUGGUAAAUAGUAAAAAUAGCAUACUUAAAAUAAUAAUAAAAAAAAACUGAAAAAAAAAAUGUGACGUAAAUUGUUAGAAGACCUACAAAACUUGGUUUUUGGAUUCUAUGAAAAAAUAGAUAAAAUCUCUUAAAAUCUGCUUUUCUAUUUUUUAGAAAAUCUACUUUUUUGUAGAAUCAUGAAUGAGUGACUAUUGGAUUUUUGAAAAAUCAUAAUCCAAAAACUGCAGCCAUUCAAGGCCUCAAUUAGAUUCAACAUUUCCGCUAAUACUAUUUGCUAUCUAAAAAAACUAUCAAAUUCAGUUAAAUUCAACAACUUACAAAAAAAAAUCGUUAGAUUCAACUAAAUUCAACCAAAUUCAGCAAAACUUACAACACACCAAUUGAUACAUAGAACAAGCAUUUGAGCUUAAAAGGCAUGUUAACUCCAAUUUGAUUCAAUAAAUUAAAGAAUAUGUACUUUUACAGUGGAGAAUAAUGAACUUUUAUAAAUUUUGGACUCAACUAGGUAAUGGUCUAAAAAUCACAAGAUGGAAACAAAUAAAUCAAGAAUAAAUGCAAAGGAUGGUUCAAAUUGAAUGGAGACGUUGGGGUUGGCCUUGUGCAUCCAAAUGAUGUGUGUAGGGGAAGCUCUCUCAAUCAGCUUUAAUUAAAAAGAAAAGAAGAAGUUAAUGACAAUGUGUAAAAGAGGUCAUAAAUAGAAAAGUAUGAUCUCCUUUGUAUAUGGAACAAGUGAUUUCUUGUACUAUUCUUUUUUUAUAACCCUCAUAGAGGAUCUAGAGUGUCUAGAAAUCAUGAAGAAACAAGCGUUGUUAGAUUAAGGGGUUUGACGAGCGAGUUUCCUUAAAUGCCCCUCGAGUUGAUUUGGUGGCAUCAGGCGAAUCCUGUUGUGUUUGGGUAGGAUCUAGGCCUGGGAUUUUGAACCGAACCGAUUUGUCCGAACCGAACCAAACCGAGAUUUGGACAAAUCGGUUCGGUUCCACUUAAUUGAGUUAAACCGAUCGGAAAGGGUUUUAAUUUAGUUCGGUUAACCAAAAAUUUCGGUUCGGUUCGAGCAAACCGAACGGUUAACCGAAAUACAGAAACCCUAACCUAAUAAUGCCUUAGCCGCUCUUCUUCUUCAUAAUCUUCUUCGAUUACUCAUUUUAUUCUUCUUCUUCUUUCUCUUUUUCGAUUCAUCAUCAUCUUUAUCUUCCUUUUCUUCUUCAAUCUUCUUUCUCUUUUUCGAUUCAUCAAUCACUCAUCAUCUUCUUCUUCAACUUCUUCUUCGAUCUAUUACUCAACAGCUUCUUCUUCUUUGAUCCAUCACCAACAUCUUUUUCUUCGAUUCACCAUCUUUGAACAUCAUCAUCUUCUUCGCCUUUCAGAUCUAUACACGAGCUCCACCUUACAGAUCUCGCCGCCGGUGUCUCCAGUCAUCAGUUCGUCGGUCGUUGUUGCUUCGUCGAUUUCUUCUCGACACAAAAUCUUCUUUUUCUUUGUUUUUUUUUUUUAUUUGUCCCCAAUUAUGUUUUUUUUAGAGAAAGCCCAACACUUAAUUCCACAAAAAAAAAACAGACAGCCCAUUUUUGGCCCAACACUUAAUUCCACAAAAAAAAACAGACAUCCCAUUUUUGGCCCAAAACAACUAAACCGAAAUAACCAAAUUGCAAAAACCGAGAUAACCGUGUCCGAACCGAACCGAACCGAAAUCUUAGUCGGUUAGUUUCGGAAUAGCAUUCAAAUUCCGAAAUAACCGGAAAACCGAGAAACCGAAUCCGAAUAAACCGAUCGGGUCCAAUUCCCAGGCCUAGUAGGAUCUCUACUCUUAAGAUGCCCAAAAAUACAUGCCAAGGUGGCUCGGGCCCUGCACAUGCUAUCGAGUAAGGAUUUUUACCGUGCACUUGUGUCUUCGAUUUUGGGCGGAUACAUGUUGGUCUUCCUAGGCUCGUGGUUCUUCAUGACUCCCUUGUGUUUUGGAAAAUCAGGAUCGAUCAAGGCUUAUGGGUCUUGGGCUUAAAUGGGCUGAAAUCCUCCUUUGAUCGCUAUUAGAUCUUUAUCGUCCAAACUGACUCGGGAAAUUAGUUCAUCGGAACAUGUCUUGGUAUGUUUUUGCUUGGAUCAUUUUCUCAUCCUCCUCUCGGAUGAGCAUGGAUUCGAAGUCCUCAUCACCAAAUAAACUUGCAUACUCAUUUUUUUUUGGAUCGAAAGCAUACUCAUUUAACAACAAUAAGUUUCUCUACAAAAGCAUACUCAUUUUUCGCGUACUCAUUUUUUUUGUCUUUUGAUUUCACUUUAGAUUUGGAGAUUAUAUUUUUUUUACUUGUGCUUCUAGUUUUAAAAUUUUUAUAUUUUGAUAUUUUUUAUUAAUACUUAAUAGCAUGAGACAAACUCUUCUAGAUUUGAAAGAUUUAUAAUUAUGUAGUGAAAUUCCAUAGUAAUAAUACAAAUAUUGCAGGAAUCUUAUUAGGGAAUAUACACUAUGUGGCCUUAUUACAUACAAAACAAAUUCCAAAAUGACUUUCAUUUUGAUUUAUUUGAAAAAUCUUUAUUAGUGUGACAGAAAUUUCCAAAUUUCAUAUUAAUAUUUUGGAGGACACGCUAAAAAUUUUUGGUAACACAUUAUAUAAAAAUAUGACAUGCUAUUUUUUUAAACAUAAUACGUAAUUUAUACAAGAUCCACACUGUUUGUUAAAAAUCAUCUACGAAAAAAUAUUUUCUUGACUUAUGGUCUUGUCACCUGUUUUUUCUGCAAAUAUUGCCAAAAUUAUGUCAUUUUAAGCAAGUUAUUUGAGUUUUUUUCUUCCAAACGCCAGAGUGACCAAAAUUUACAAUGUGUCAACAAGCUUAAAAUAUUUUCAUAACUCUACAAGAAUAUACUUAUAGUGGAUCCAUGGUAUUCAUGUUGUCUGAUUUUACAUAUGAGAUAUAUUAAAUUAAUAUAGAGUAUAUAUGUGAAUUGUGAAUUGUGAAUUGUGAAUUGUGAUGUAUGAAAGUUGUCAUAUCUUUCAAGGCCUACCACACUGUGUUGUCUCAAAAAAGUAGGGCAUUGUUGAGUUCUUAGAGUUGUCAUUUGUGGGGCCAAACAUUGAGGCCCAUUGUGACCAAAUACGAUAAACUUAUUGGGCUAAAUGGGCCCAAUUAUAACUUAUCUUGUUCUCCAUAAUUUUUUUUUUUCGUUUUGGGGUGCAUCGACAAAUGACUGUUCCUUAUUUACUUAAUUGUUUCGCAAUUGGAGAGGAUAAUAUCCAAAGGAGGAAGAUGAGAUCACACAUGGGAAGUGUUUGAUAGAAAGAGAUGGGACUGGUGAGAGAAGUAUAGCCAUAAGAAGCAACUUUAAGAAUGGUGAGGUUCAAAACAAAAGAAAGCUAUCUUACACACUCAUUUCCCUCUUUUGUCUCCUUCACCAGUUCCUCCAAAUUUUAGAUUUUGACUUGACAAUCAUAGCAUGGGGCGAUAAUUUAUUUGGAUAAAGUUAAUCGUUUAUAUAACAUAUAUGUAUACGAUUAUGAUGGUAUGUAUCGUCCAGCGAAGUCAUUAUACAGUUUUGAAUUAUUUAAAUUAUAUUCACUCAUUUCACUUUCAAUUGAAUAUUACAAAUGUCAUCUCAAAAUCCAAUAAUUUGAUGUGCAUUGUGUAAGUAUAACUAAUUUGACAACAAAGUGUUUAGUAGUCGUAAUCUACAGGUGACAAGUAAUAUGAAAUGAAAAGAGUAUAUAUAAUUAUAUAUAAUGACCAGGCCAUCGAAGUGUCAGUAGCACUACCGGACGACUUUGGGGAGUUUUUAAGGGGGAGAUGACCAAGUCGUAGGUUACUUUAAAUUUUCAUUUGUCAAAGAUAAUAGAUUAUCUUUCAUAUUAACUUUGACCCAUAUUAGGCUACGUAACUUUGGAAUAUAAACUAAUUAAAUACUUGGCUGCUUUAAUUGAAAUCCAAAUUUGUUUCAGUAUUUGAAAAUGUGAUUGCAUAUUAGGGAUUGGUUAGGUAUGACUGAGAUGUAGAUGGAACUGUCAAUUUUCAAUACCGGGGGCUCAAGUGUUCUUAACGUAUCAUUUUCAACUUCUACACCCCAAGACAAAAACCCUUUUAAUUUCUAGUUAUGUCUUUGUAGUUGUACAACGGUACACCAAAACCAUAUCACGUGUCAUCUCCCUUGGAUUGUCACCGCACGAGUGGGCUCGAAUCUCAUGUUAACCACUACUUAAUAUUCGUGUCAUGUCUAUGUUUUGCCUUUGUAACCAUUUAAUAUGGAAUCUAUACAACGUGACCUUGCCUACUUUUCUUUAUAUUUCUCGGUAGUUCUGAUUUUUUUUUCUGUUAAUACUAAAUAUAGUUGCUAAAAGGUUAUACAUAAAGACAUCAUAAUCUUGAUUUAUAACCUUCUAAACCCCGGACAUUCUUUAUAUUUUAAAAGGUUUGAUUAUGUUCGAAUCUUGGAUAAAGAGGAUGGAACCAACAAUUUUCUGACUUGAAAAUAUCUAGAUUUUAAAGAUAAAAACCGAUUAGUUUUUAUUUAUUUAUUUUGCGGACUAAUCUUCUCAAACUUCAGUUUCAUGAGCUAACGUUUGAUUCAUGAUUUAUAAUAUCCAGCCAAAUUAAAGUGGAUUCUAGAUUAGACUAAAAAUUUUGAGCCCUAAAAAUUUGUAGAAAGGUAAUGGGUUGGAAUCCCUUUCAAACUCCGGAUCAAACUAGUGUGAUUUGGUUUAUAUCCUUACUUAUAGGGUGUAACUGAGAGUAAUUAAUUAGAAGAAAAAGGAAGAAAAUGAAUGAGAAGAAUUUAGAAGAAAAGAAAAAUGAAAGUUGGAAGAAAUUUUUUUUUAUUAUGGGUGUGACUCGUUAAAGUUAAAAAAAAAAAGAGAAGAAAAAAGGUAGAAAAAAAGAGAAGAAAAUAAAAUUAAAAUGUAGAAGAAUUAUUUCUACUAUAUAAUUGUAGUAGGAAGUUUUAAUCUUUUUUAUGUUACUUUUGAGAUGAAUUGGGAAGAAAACAAUUCUUUCAAAUUUUAUUUGACUGGUUAACUUUUAGAAGAAAAUAGAAGAAUUGUAAUUGGGAAAAAUGUCAUUAAAAUCCCCAACUUAUUCAAAACGUUGAUUUAAAUCCUCAACUCACGACGAAACGAAAUAAAUAUCAAACUUAUGUUGACUUUCCAAAUAAAUAUUAAACUUAUGUUGACUUUCCAAAUAAACACCAAACUUUCAUUGACUUGGCCAUAUUAGGCAUGACGUUAAGUGAGUUAACAGACAAUGUUAACGGGAUUAAUUUUCUAUUAACAGAUCCGCUAAUUAAAAAUGACAGUAUUGUUGAACUAUAAUCAAAUCUCAUCUAAGUCAUAUAACCUAAAAUCGUAUUCCUAUAAGUUAGUUAUUUACGUAAGAGUCACGAAUGUACGUACGUAUAGUUGUGUCUGUUCGUAAAGUUGUGUCUUUUCGAUUAACACAUGUACGUAUACGCUGUUUCGUGUUGUAUAAGUAGAUCGAGUCAAACUCAAUAACAUCAUUGUUUGUAAUACAUUUUCUCUUAUCAAUAAAAAUCAAGUUUCUUCAUAUUCUAUUUUUCAUUUUGGUUUUGUUCUUCAUACUCUGUUAAAACAGAGUUCGUUUGUUGAUCAAAAAACUAACAAGUAUUCCUUCUAAACAUAAAACGACGUUGUUUUGUAUUAACUGUUCAAUAAAAUCCCGAGUUUCAAAUCAUACUCUAUUUAGGGUUAGGGAUUUUGCUCGAUUUGGGGAUCUAAGAUUGACUUUAGGGAUUUAAUUCAAUCGUUACGACAAAACGACGUCGUUUUGUUGUUAUAUGAAACAAUGUCGUUAUCAAUUAACAUAUAUGCUAACAGAAAAUUACCUCCGUUUACGAGAUCUAUUAACUCAUUUAACGUCGUACCUAAUAUGGCCAGGUCAACGGAAGUUUGAUAUUUAUUUGGAAAGUCAACAUAAGUUUGAUAUUUAUUUGGAAAGUCAACAUAAGUUUGAUAUUUAUUUCGUUUUGUCAUGAGUUGAGAAUUUAGUAACUCACUUAACGUCGUACCUAAUAUGAUCAGGUCAACGGAAGUUUGAUAUUUAUUUGGAAAGUCAAUGAAAGUUUGUGUUUAUUUGGAAAGUUAACAAAAGUUUAAUAUUUAUUUGGAAAGUCAACAUAAGUUUGAUAUUUAUUUUGUUUCGUCAUGAGUUGAGGAUUUAAAUCAACGUUUUGAAUAAGUUGGGGAUUUUAACGACAUUUUUCCCAAUUGUAAUUCUUCUCUUUAUUUUUCUUCUAUAAGAUGCUAACAGUCACAUCCUAUGUAUUUACAGGAUGAAUCUUUUCAUUUGUUUCUCCUAAAAGUAGAAGAAUCGAGAAGAAUUUGGUGGACAACAAAUAUUUUUUGACUGGCAAAAAAAAUAAACUAAUUGAAAAUAUUUUUAUUUCUUCUCAUUUAUUUUCCUCUAUCUAAGCUAACCACUAGAACAAUUAAUUUUACGUCAAGAAAAACUAUUUCCUUGACAAUGAUCUUCUCAGAAAACAAUAUGGAUAAGAUAGUAUUAGAAACUCGCUAACUGACCAAGUGAACUGUUUGCACCACUGUAAAGUCAGAUCUGACUUGAGUGUCAUGUCUCAAUUUCUCCUGCUCAUCUAGCUUUAAGUAGCAUAAUCCAUUUAGUAAAUAAUUUAAUUGGAAAUUGAUGAACUAGUAGUAAAUUUAAAUCACGUUGUUUUUUUUUGGGUUUAUGUUCAUAUUAGUAAAUUUAAAAUGAUAAAUUCCCCAAAAUAGCACUAAAACAAGUUUUAUGGACAAUUAUAGCACACACUCCAUAAACUUUCAAAAAUAGCAUUAGUUGAUUAACUAUUAAGUUUUUGUUCUAUAAUUAUUAUCAUUAGUUUAUUUUUACCAAUAAUAUCACAAUUUUUAUAUAAAAACUAUUCAAGCAAAAUAAAUUAGAAAUAAAUUUAAAAUAUUAUAUUUGGGUUCUUUAUUUCCAAUUUAGGGUAUAUAUUUCCACCAUGUAAAAGAGAUAUUGAUUCAUUUUAAUAUUGAAUUUUUGUUAUUAUGUUUGGGUUCAUUAAUUCCAAUUUAGGGUAUAUAUUUCCACCAUUUAAAAAAGAGAUUUUGAUUCAUUUUAAUAUUAGUUUGUGGGAUUAUAUUUGGGUUCCCUCAUUCCAAUUUAGGGUAUAUAUUUCUACCAUUUAAAAGAAAUUUUGAUUAAAUUUAAUAUUAGGUUAGUGUUUGCUCUUAUUUUCUAUUUAAUUAAAGUUUAGGGUGCUAUUUGUGGAAUUUUAGAAAUAUUGUGCUAAUUUUGGAAAAACAAACUUUUUUGGGGCUAUUUUUGUCAAUUGCCCAUUUAAAAUCAAGUUUAUAUAUGUUUAUAUUAAGUAAAUUUAAAAUCAACUUUAUUCAUGUUCAUAUUAGUAUAUCUCAUAAAUUUAAACCAUAUAUUACAGACAUUUAUUGUAAAGUGAUUUAUACCAAUAUAUAAACAACAAUAUCAGUUUGUUUCUAAUUUACUAUUUCUGCCCAACGCAUCUCUAAAAUAAAAAUUAUAUCUAUAAGAAGACUAUUCGAAGUAGUAAAUAUGUACGCUUAUGAGAGUGAUUAUAAAAAAUAUCAUUUAGCUUGAUUUACAUAAUUAAUGAUUAAAGAUUUAAAUGUCAUGGAGGAGUGACUUCGAAGCUCUUCAACAAAUGAUAAUUAAUGGCACAAACACAUAACUCACUAAAUUAUACUACAAGUCUACAAUUGAAAUUACCAUUGAAAUAUCAAAUAUCUGAUCGACAUGCUCUCCCCACAACAUCCGUUGGACAUGCUCUUUCCACAAUAUACGAGACCAUAACGCACGACUUUGCUUACAAAGUUUUAUAACUUCCGAUAAGUUUUGCAUCAAUAAUCUAGCAAAAAAUUGCGUUUUUUGGGAAUCGACCCCCUGAUCUAAUAUAGAAGACUUUAAACUCUUAACCACGGGACUAAAGGUGCUUUAACAUAAAAUUUCUUUUAAUUGAUAAAGAAUAUUUUCAUGUAAUGUUUAUCUUUUCAAAAAGUAAAUUUGUUCUUCAAAGAGAUGCUAAUAAUAUAAAUCGGACACAUAAACACACGGAACAAGUUGUGUUGCGUACGGUAGUUUUUCAUGUUUUGCACAUUGUGUCAAUGGCAAUCAGAAUCAGGCAAUGCAAACUGCCUUAACCUAACGUUCAUGGAACAAUCAAACAUACGUCGAUUCCGAGUCACCAUUCAACUAAUUAACAUAUCUUUAAAUACAUACAUACGUGUGUGUAUAUAUAUUCAUCUAUGCAAAUUUAAUGAGGUCAUGGGUUGUGUGUGGUUUGAUGUACAUAAGCAUAAAGAUUUUCAAAAAUGAACGACAAUAUUAAAUCCAAAAAAAACACUCAAAGUUGGAAUCCAAGGCAACAAGAGACGAUAGGUCCACAUUAUCAUAAAUACAGUCAAUUAAAUUUCCUACACCUUAUCAGAAAGCUCAUAAAAAUCAAAUGAGCCCACCUUCUCCUACAAUUAAGUUCUUCACCCACGCAUUUAGUGGGUCACACAAACUCUUAUGACUUGUGUCCCUCCAAAUUUUCUAAAAUUCACAGCAUGCAUUCAAAACAUUUAAUCCAAAAAAUAUAAAACAAUCGUAAUCCACUAUUAUCAACGUAUAUAUGAGUAUCGAAUGAUACGUUUACGACCCGUAUAUUCACAUACUACGACUUUAUUUAAUAAUGAAGGAGUUACAUAUCACAUCAAUUGUUAUAUAAAACCUAAACACCUUAUAUUCAUUAUAUCAUUCCUUAGCAACUUGUUCCUCAUUCCCCGCAAAUCAAGCAUAGAAAGAGAUACUCUUGGAUCAUCCAAGUAUCCGAUUCUCAAACCGUAAAAAUAUAAUGUCCAUGAAAGGGAUCUCAUCAGCAGAGCCAGAUAAGCUCUCGAGGAGAAUAUCUUUGACCAACAAGCGCAAUUCCGAAGAGCUUGACGUGUUUGAGGCCGCAGUGUACUUCGGCUACAAUGAAGCCUCCUCUGGUGACCAUAGACCUACACAAAAGUAUGGCUAUAACGGAGCGAGAGAGGAGAAUCCUAGGCGAUGGGGAAUAUUAGGAGGAGGAGGAAGAAGAAUCAGCUUGGAUUUGCCUAUCAGAUGCUCAGAACAAGUGCACCAUCUUCAACAAGAUCAUCAUGAGAAGCACGAAGUUACAACAAUCAAGGAGAGACUUGGUAACGUGAGACACAAGCAACCGAGCUCACCAGGUGGGAAAAUCGCCAGCUUCUUGAACUCCUUGUUCCAUCAAGCAAGUUCGAAGAAGAACAAAUCAAAGUCAAAGUCAAAGACAAAGCCAACGGAUCCAGAAGUGGAAGAGGAGAUCCCUGGAGGAGGAUGGAUGAGGAGGAGGAGGAGAAGCAGUAUCAGCCAUUUCUUGAGCUCAAGCAGAUCGAAUUCAAUCACCACCACCACCACGGCAUCAUCAUCAUCAAAAUCUCUGAUGUCGUCUUCAAGCUCGGGUUUCAGAACUCCUCCUCCUUAUUUGAACACUCCCACCAAGAACUACAAGCAGUUCUUGAACUACACUUCUGCCACAAAACAAGUGGGAGAAGAGGAAAAGAAGACCAACAAAGAGUUCUCUUGGCUGGACGAGAAACUCAAGGUGAUGGAGAGCCUCUCGGAGAAUCAGAGGAUUUGGGCUGAUGAUGACGAUGAUGAUAGGAGAAUAAAGAGAGAGGGAAAUGAUGAUGGAAUGGAGAGUGAUUCAAGUUCUGAUCUCUUCGAGUUGCAAAACUACGAAUUGUCUCGUGGAGGCUUGCCAGUCUACGAGACUACCAAUGUAGCUAACAUCAACAACACUCAUAUAUAAUCAAAACUCUCUGAGUGUCAUAAACUCCAUCAGAUCUUGGUAAUAACACCCAUAAAACAAAUUGUUUUUUCAGAUUUGUUCUUGUCUGAUUGUUCUUCAGUUAUAUGUAAUUCUUUUGGGUUUCUUGGAUUUGUUUGUGGAAGCUUUAAUGAAUUUUUUUUUUUCUGUAUGAGAUUGAGGUAGAUUUGAUAAAUACCUAGAUUUCUUGUCUAUCACAUUGUUUUUUUGUUUCCAUCUCUUUACGUUUUUUCCUUGUAAACUAUAUUUUGUACAAUAUUGUUAAUAUUUUAGUUAUUAGAGUACGUGGUAAAACCAUUUUUAUUUCAGUAGAAAUCAAAGAUUUGUUGAAAAAGUUUGUCACUUACAUAUUAUUGAGCUAAAUUCACCGACCGGAAAAAAAACUGAGCUAUAUGUUACGGACCAUAUAUAUAAACCGUUGAUACAUUGGGAUAUAACAAACAUAAUUAUCAACGAAUAUGUUGUCGAAUUGGACUUGUAUUCUUGUAGUAAUUAACCGGUUAAGUUUUGGCUGGCUGUUUUUUCCUUUACAUUUGUUGGUUAGUUAUAAGUCCAUUUUUUGUCGUCGGUUACGAGUCUUACAACUUAUGGAGCCACUAGUUCUCAAAUUAAAUUUUGUAUCGAUAACAUGAGAAAAAGACAAAGAGACAAAAAUUGGGGACCAACAACGAUCUCCACUUGCAUUUUUUUCCUAUUAGCUUAAUAAAUAAUAUUAGAUGUACCAAUCUUCAAGUAAGUCCUAAGUAGAAAGAUCUACACAGACAAAAAAAAAUCUUGAGCUCUAAUAUUUUGUGUAUAUAUAGAAGCCGAACUAUCUAAAACAUGAAGAAUUAAAAAUAACUUAUAUAUAACUAGAGAAAUAUAAUUUUUAAGAGAAAAAAAUAAUCUAAAACAUAUGAGAACCGAGAACGCAUGCUAUUCCGAAAAUAAGGAUAUCAUUUUUAGCGGGUCCAAACAAGUUGUUUCGAACCUCAAGCUUAAGCAUGCAAGCCACUGCUGAAGAAUCAUUCAUAAACGUUAAUAUAUUAUUAUAAGAACUAGUACCCAAUAACUUAAUCUAGUAUGCGGUAUGCCUAGACGUUUUUUUUGUUGUCCUGUCACGAGUUGCGUCAUAGAGCUUCGAUAGAAGUGAAAAAGUAUAAUUAGUGUUUUGGCUGAAGAUUGAUUUAUCCUUAAAAGGAUUUAUCAACUGCUUUAGAUAAUUGUAUUAACAAAUUAAUCAAGGACAAAAGAGAUAUCCAAAAGCUUUUGUCAUGCAUAGAUUGCGCUUGCUUUUCAAGUUUUAUUUAUUAAUGCAUGCCUAAGGCAUACGGAGUACUAUAUAUAUAGCCUUUUUAUUUUUGGAUUAAGACGACUAUAUAGCUAGCCUUUCUAAGGAUAAUUCGGAUGUAUUGGCUGGUCGUACGUUGGAUAUAUAUCCGACUAAAAUCUCUUUUUGAUUGUGACUAAACUCUUUUUGAUUUGUGUUUUUUUUUUUUACUUUGAAAGAUCUUGUGAAAUUGAAAUUUUAACUUUAAAAAAAACAUUAAUCAGUGAUCGAAAUACAUUUAAUGAAAAUUAGUCUUUGGUCUCAUGCCAACAAAAGAUAAUUAAUAUUAAUUCCACUUCAAUCACACACUAGCUUGGUUAAAAAAUUAUAUAUCGAGUUGUAUUCAUCGCAAAAACACUGUAAUUAUACAUAUGUAAUUAGCCAUAUAUAUAUGCUUUUUACUUAUUAGUAUUUCAAUCGGAUAAGGUACUUUUUUAAGAACAAAAAAUUUACAAAAUAAACCAAACAAAGCAGAUAAUUGUACAAUCCUACAAUGAACUCAUGCGUAGUGGCAACAAAAAGAAGGAAACAAAAGAAAAAUACUCAUGACGGUUGAAACAAUGAUACAUGUCACCUAUAUAGACUAAAGUCGGAUAUAUGAAAUGUAUAAGUAAUACAUAUGGCUUUCUCCUAUCAUCUAGUGGGUGGAGGGUCCAAACAUGUGAUAAUCAUAAAGUUGAGGUAAUUAUGCAAAGUAAAAUGAUAUAAUAAUUAAUCUUGCGAAUAAAGACACUCACAAAUAGUAUGUUAGGAGUUUUGUUAGAUGAGUUAAUAAUUAACGUCAUAUAUGCAAAUUUCAAUAAAUUUUUAUUUAUUGGACCGGUUAUACUAAAUUCAGUUUAUUCAGUAUAAAUCAAUGUUAUUAUUCCACUUAUUCGGUAUGAAACCAAUGUUGUCGUUCGGUUAAAGAAAACUUCGUUCGGAUCACAAAAUAUUUGGCUCAGUUUUUUUCUUCUUCUUGUAUCUAUUUUUAAUGGUGCCACUAUGAAUAAAAAUAAAUUCUGGUCUUCGAUCUAAAAUGUAAAGUUCAAAAACCUGAACUUUCCAUCGUUCUCAAAUACUAUGACAGUAAUCAUGACCAGUCUUUUUGGUGCACACUGACUGUUACAUCAUGAUUCAUGGAGUAGUAUUUUUAAAAUCUUUUGAAUUUUCGUGAAAAUGGAAGAGACCCCCAUGGGCCGUAAAUAGACCUUUACUAUGCUACGUAAAUUGAUGGACCUGGCUUUGCAAAUUGGAACCAACACCAACUCUUUUUUUCACAUAUCCGUUUGUUUUAAUUUUUAACUUUUUCAAGUCUUUUUUUUUUUUUCCUCUUUUUUUUCCUUACUUUUUCAAGUCUUUUGACACACAUAAAGUCAUAAAAGUAUAUGAUCGAAUUUACUUACAACUUUUACAUUGUAAUAUAUGAGAAACGAUCUAAUCAUAUAAACGUGUAAUUUACAUAAGAAAUAUCAACAGCAAACAAGAACAAACAAAAUGAAGUAAUUAGGACUUAGCUUUAGAUUCCAUCACCUGAAAAGUGCGGUUGGUUGGCCAAUAAGGUAUGAUCUGGCUCCCACCAAAAAAAAAAAGAUUUUUAAGAAAAUAAAAGAAAAGGGGUUGAUUUUGUAAUAAAGCAAAAGGUUUGGGGAUCGUCAGAAGGCUUUGCCUACACACUCUCCACCACCAAUCUCUACAAUUCGCUGAUUCUCUAAUAUUUUAUUUAUUCCUUUUGCGACCCCAAAGUUUCUUUUUCGUUUGAGGAAACCCACAUACAUAAUACAUUCUUAAUUUGGAUAUAUAUUCUUAUUAAAACGAUUUUUAAAAGAAAAUUAAGCCAAAAUAAUAAUGUUUCCAAGUUGCUAUAUAAAAUAGGCUUUUCCCAUGUUGUUCUUUUUUUUUUUUUAAUCUUUACAAUCUCAUCAAAACCGCCAACAAACCAAAUAAUUUAACCAAAAAACGUGUUUGUCAAAAUUGUAAAACUUUCAAUGGGGACGAUGUUCAUUGUGAUCUUCAUUGGUUUUGAUUGUGAUCAACAUAUUUAUGUCAUAUUUAAGUAUACAUGUGUUCGAGAUAGUCUGUGAACACAUCAGUUUGGUUGCUUGUCUCUACGUCAAUGUGAAAUACAUACCACCAUAUUCGUUGUAUGUUAUUUGUGACUAAACCAAGAUUUUGUUUAGGUGUAAUUGUUCCGAAAACAAUCGUACAUCACCACAAAAAAACCUAUAUGCAAUUUACUCGGUUACUUUUAGCAUAUCAAUAAUUAACUAAGCUAAAUGAACCUAAAACUAGUUUUACCAAUGGUAAAUUGGUAAUGAUUUAGUGGUAGAAAAUGAGACAUGACGUCAACAAUUUGUUCUUUCUUUAAAUUCGAUUUGUGUACUUGAUCAAACGAAAUAGUGUCACGUUUUAGAUGCUUUUAAGUUUUAACAGCUCGAUGAAUAGACUACUCAGUCGAAAAACACUAGCCAUUCAAAAGGAUUUACUCGUACUUGUUCCUAUUACCCGUUGUUUUGAAAAACAAACACAAUAAAUUACGGGUUUUACUUCACAUUUUACCAAAAAAAAAAAAAAAAAAUUACGGGUUUGUAUAUAACCAAAACAUUUGUGUUUUUAACAGUGAUAUAAUUCAUUUUAGAUGUGCUUAUAUUUUUUUUGUAGGGCUGGACAUUGAUUCCUGUUAGUUAGUUGUACGCAUGGACAUAUAAUCCGAGGUUUCGAACCGAUCCGAAAAAUCUUAUUUAAAUCGGUUUCGGUUAUUUAGUAAAACUCGAUAGGAUUUCAUAUAGAAUGUGAUUCGGAUUUCGGUUUGGAUCGGAUAAUAUCCGAAACCCAAUCGGAGAUCCGCUAAUCCAAAACUUUACAUUACAUAUUAUUAAUUUUAUGCUCAAUUCGGAUCGUGUAAUUUAGAAUUUCAUGUUUGAUAGGGUAAUUUUUGGAUAAUUCGGAUAAUUUGGAUAACUAGGAUCGGGUAAUUUGAAUUUUAUCAGAUAAUUCGGGUAUUCCGGAUCCAAAUCUAAACCGAAACAAUAUCCAAUACCUUUUGAAAAUCUGCAGAAAAAUACAAAAUUUAAAGAAUGAAAAAAAAGGGAAGAAAAAGAGAGAGAGAGAAGUGGAGAAGAAGAUGGGUUUAGUGGAAAUUAGGCCUGGACAUAUGGGUAACCCGUUUAGAUUCGGGUAAAACCCGUUCGGGUUCGGGUUAAAUGGGUAAUAAAUUUACGAUCCAUUCAGGUAUUUCUAAAUAUUCGGUUCUGGUUCGGUUCGGGUAUCGUCGGGUUCGGAUCGGUCUGGGUAAUAAGUAUGAAAACCGAAAAAAACCCGAAAAUUAGGGUUCCCAUUGGGUUCGGGUCUAAAUAGAUAAAAUUACCCAUAAACCCAAAAUAUGUCUCCAUACCCGAAAUUUUAAACCAUUUUACAUGCACAAAACAUCAAAUAAAAAGAAUAGAACAUAAACAUGACAUCUAAAUCCAAUCCAAAGUCACAAUGAUUAAUAGUUAAAAGUUAAGAGUAGAGAAAUCCGAAUAUGUAUAUGAAAAUAUAAAUCCGAUUAUCUAAAUAUCAAAAACAUUGAACUAGAUAGAAUUAGAAGUCAUGGUCAAAAACAAAAUAGUCGUCUUCCUCUCAAACCUAGCUGCCACCCCCAAAAAAAAAUUUCAGAUUGACCUCUCCGGUGGCCGGCGCUUCUCGCCGUUGCUGUCGUGAGAGGGUCCAAAUGUAUUUCUUUUGUUGUCUUGUUGGUUUUUGUUCUCUAUAUGUUAAAUCCGGUGUUGGUGGUGAAGAUCUUGCUUUGAUGUGACGAUGGAAUUUCCCGGCGAGUCUUCACGGCUUGUUCAGCAGUCCUUUCUCAUCUCCGGUUCGUUUUCAUUGUCUCGCUUGGCUGGAGUCUCUCUUGGGUUUGUUUUAGUUGUUUAGUCGUGGUUAAUUUAGGAUGGUUUCAAUCUCUGGCUUGCUCUUCAUUUGAGAAGCAGUUGCUUUGUUGGCCCUUUCUCGUCGGAUCGUGUGUACGUCUUAGACGUAUGGUCCAGAUUUUGUGGCUCACAAUCUCUGGUUCUUUGCUUUUGGUGAUAGCCCGUUUUGAUGGCAUGGUUUUGGUUGGAUCUCUAGUUCUCCUUGGAUUUGUUGAUUCUUACUCUCCCUCUCUUCGGUGGUCUUUAUUGUGAGCUCCCCGAUUCGAUCUGUUGCCUUUCUUGUUUGGAGUUUGGUGUCAUCGGUUUGGAUUUUUGUCUCUACACUCAAGACCUGAUCGAGGUCUGGUCAAAUCAAAGACUUUUAUCGAGGCGUCAAAUUGUAGUAGGUUUCUACAUCGCCGCUUCCGGAAGAUUUGCGAGUCUUCUUGUGAUUUGCUUUCGUCUUGCCGGAUAUGAAGUCUAGGAUUAUUUUAUUUGGGAGGUACUCUGGCUUCAUUAUAGGAGGUUUCGUUAGCUGCUAACGGAUUAUGUUCAUCCACUGUGGUUGGCUUUUGUUCAUCUAGGAGUAAGGGAGAUCUUUUGGCAGUCUUUUUCGUUUGAGAUCUUAGUUCCAGCUGCUGUGUUUCAUUUCGCUUUUUGUGGAUUGUAAUUUCAUCGUUUUCAAAUGUUUCCCUGUAACUUAGGGCUUCUGUUUUCCUCUUUUGGGCUAUGACUCUGGGGAUAUCUCGUUUUUCCGCCGGCUUAGUUUCUGGGGGUUAAAGUCCCGCCAGUCUUUGUAUUCCAAGAACGUAUUUCACCCGUGAUAUAUAAAUAAUCUUUCAGACGAAAAAAAAAAAAGAUAGAAUUAGAAGUAGGAUUGUAGCCUUGUUGGAAGUUGAUAGAUGGGUGAUGACUGAAAAAAUAUCUCUCAUAAGCUCAUCUUCCACUAUUAUUUAAGACUAUAUGACUAUAUCUAUAUACGUAUAUAAACACAUAUGUCUUCAGUUUCGGGUUUAUAGGUACCCAUUUAUGGGUAACGGAUAAUCCCCGAUCCGAACCGAUAUUCACAGGUUGACCAAUACUCUAUCCAAUAAGGUAAUUUCCGAAUACUCUAAUCCAACCCGAUUUUUUCGGUUCGAAUAUCAGUUCGGGUAUCGGAUCCGGUUUUUUUUGUCCAUGCCCAGUGAAAAUCAUGUUGACCCCAACAGUAUCUGCUUCGACGUCACCUCUCACCUUAUUCCUUCGAUUCCCCCCAUUUUCACUUUUCUUAUAUUUUCUCCAUCUCUGUCUCUUUGCUUGCUUCCUAUACACAGUUCUUCUCUGUUCCUCUAAUCGGAAGUAUGUAUAUUGAUUCUUAUUCUUCGAUCUUCUUUUUAUGAUUUGGUUCACCUCAAUUGCAUUAGAUGGAAGAGAAAUACUCGAAAUCUCGUCUUAAAUUAUAUAUGUUCUACUGAUGAUCAUCUUGUUUGAUUGCUUCCUUGAUUAAAGUAUUGAUUUUUAUCUUUGUUUCUUGUUAGGGUUUGAAUCUUUUCGUCAAUUUUCUAUCUGGGUUUUGUGCCAGUCGAAGGAAUAAGUGAAUCGUCGUCUUGGGUUUUCUCAAUUAAGAAUAAAGUUUCCUCCUUUUAGGGUUUUUGAAUUUACUUAUCGAAUUUGAUUAUAGUGUUGGGUGAUGGAUGAUUCUUGGAGCUACGGGAGAAGCGUUUUCAUGUCAAAUGAAACUCUUUUACCUUUUGAUUCUUUUGCUGAGAAUAGAAGAUUUGAACAUAGAUUCUCUAAUGAAUUGAGGAAUGAUAAUGAUGAUGUGUUGAUUUCUGACAUGGCUGGUAACUCCAAUGGAUUCAGUGCUGUUUCUAUUACCAAAGUGGUUCCUGAAGAGGAAGAGGAAGAGAACCAAUCUUCUUCUUCAAAGUUGUCUAGUCACGAAUUGAAUAGGAUAGAUUUCAAACUUAGGAGCAUUUUGGAUUUAGGAAAUGAUGAUGAUACAUCCUCUAGAGGUUUUGCUCUGCCAGCUAAAAAGUCUCGAGCUUCAAACCUUUGCUCUCAGAAUCCCUUGUGUCAAGUGUAUGGGUGUAAUAUGGAUCUGAGCUCUUCGAAAGAUUACCACAAAAGGCAUAGAGUUUGCGAGGCUCAUUCUAAAACUUCCGUGGUCGUAGUUAAUGGUCUUGAACAGAGGUUUUGUCAACAGUGCAGCAGGUUUCUUCUUUCUCCUCUCAAGUUGUCGUUUUAACUAACAUAUCAUGCUUGAUGGAUCUUGAUUGUUUGUUUCUUUUACCUUUUUCUUCUGUUCAGGUUUCAUUUCCUCUCAGAGUUUGAUGAUGGCAAAAGAAGUUGCAGAAGGCGAUUAGCUGGUCACAAUGAACGAAGAAGAAAACCUGCAUUCUAUUUCCUACCGGGUAAGCGCCAUAAGCUUCUUCGCACCUCUCAAGGUACUCAGUCUCUGUCUUUUCGCUAUCCAUUGAUGUAUUGAAUUAGCAAACUUGUGCAAGUUUGAAUCCAUUCUGUGUGUAAAUAGGUGUAGUAGGCAACAAGUUUCUGGAGAAUCCAUCGUUGGUAUUGCCAGAGUCAUUUCCUGGUAGUCUCUUAUACAGAGUAAUAGAUGACGACGACCACCGUGCAAGUAGACUCGUGAGUUUCAAAGAUGAACCUACUUGCUCUAUGUUUCCUGCUAUUGGGCAAAACAGCAGCAGAACUUAUGAAUCUAAACCAGCGAUUUAUUCAGCGGAAGUAUCCUCUAUUUGGGACUUACAUGAGACGGCGGUUUCACGCUCUACUUGUGCUCUCUCUCUUCUGUCAGCUCAGUCCCAACAACACUUGUCUCAAAUUCCAAACACAACAUUCUCAAUCACCCAACCAAACCAAAAUCCCAAUCACCCAUCACAAGUAGACUAUCAUGAAAUGGAACCGUUAUGGAUCGAUCCUGGCAAGACCAAUUCUGCUGGUUCUAGUUCAUGUAAAGGAAAAGGACCAUCCACGGUUGAUCUACUGCAACUGUCAUCACAUCUUCAAAGAAUCGAGCAACAGAGGAAUUACACUGGUGAUGUGAAGCAGGAAUAUAACGAGCUUUAUUUCCCUGGCUCUUAAAAAAAGGUUACAACAUUCUUAUUCCUUAAAACCGGUUCGAGCUUCUUGAGAUUUUCUGCACUAUAGGACAAGACAAGCCUGCGUGGUUUGAUUAGUUUAUUAAUUUGGGUGUGGUAAUUAUUAGAUUGGUGAAAUAGAUAGAGGAAUGAAGAAGAUCAAAUCAUGUUACAGGUAUUAUUGUAAUUUGUAACUGUUGUGUUGUUAUUCAUCAGUCAAUAAUGUUCUGAAGAAAAUUGCUUCAGAUAUCUAUGCCUGUUUCUUUUACACAGCGUUUCAGUCUCUUUUUUUUUCCGGACAAUUUGUAUAUAUAAUUGUAGUGAAUAUUCGCUGAAAAAGUGAAUUUUCACUUUUGUUUUGUUUUGUUCUGUACACUCACGUCAUCUGAGAUUCUCGAAUUCGAAGUUAGGAUGUUGAAAGUUGCAAGCUAAGUCCUUGGAAAAAUAUUAUGUCCUAGAUGGAAGAGGAAUAAGCAGAUAAAUUUUUGAUAGGAUUAAGACAAAUAAAGACCAGACAUAAACGUCCAAAGGGACAUAGCAAGUGACGUUACUUUCAAAUCUAAAGACAGACAGAAAUAUAAAGUCAUAGAAACUAAGGCAACAUCAUUUUCUGCAACAUGACAUACAUAAGGAAAAUUACAUGAACAACACAAGAUGAGAAAAACGACGCAGCCACUCGCACACGUGCAUGCGUUUGUUAUUUUUGGCUUCUUUUCCCCUGAGAUUUUUUUUUUCACUUCUUCUCACCGAACCCCAAGCCCUAAUUGAACAAAACAUUUGAAUUUUAAGUCUGUAUAUAAUAUUGUAUAUAAAUGUCCUUAUCCAGACUGAGUUUGUAUAGCGUACAUGGAUCAUGUUGUGGCCUCCGGAAGUAAUGGAAGUAGGAGAGUUGGGUAUGUACUUAGCCCACUGUUUGUGACAUUUUUCAAUUACACAAACGAAAUUGUGAAAAAAAUAUUUAUUAAUGAAAAAAAUGGUUGGUAACAAAAAAAAACUUGUCGUCUUACAUUUUUGGCAGCAGCACUGAAAGCUUCACGGUGUGGUAUUUCCGGAUUAGCACUUUUGAUUCGUUGGAUCUCAUCCCUUUUUAUAUUUUUCAAAACCAAAAAAGAUGAAGAAGAGUAAUUUUAUAUAUAAUUAAUGUUUAUGCAUUAAAUUUCAUAAUUUGGAAAUGAAGAAUAUAUAUAUGUCAAAGGUUAAAACCUCAUGAAGCGGUUGUAUGCAGAUGGAAGUCUCUGCUUCUUCUCAGGAGCUACAAUACAAAAAGAUGUUCAACAAAUUAUCAUUUAUUAUGUAGAUAGUGAUUAAAUUUAUAGAAGAAAAAAGAGUCAGAAAUGGUAAUAAGCUUAAUUACGUUUAACGACAAAGGGUGGUGUGGGGGAUGGUGGCUGGUCGCUGGAGGUAGAGGAAGAGGAAGAAGAAGAGCUUCCCUUCUUAUACUCACUCCCACCAAAGCUCUGCAUCUGCUUAAUUAAGAAAAUUACGAUAGGCUUAGUAUCACAUUUUUUAUUUAUAAAGAAUUAUACUCAUAUGUAUAACUAUAAAGCAAGUGUUAUAUACCUGAAGGGUGAGGCUGACAUGGCCUUGGAGAGGAGGAGUUGUGGUCAGAAACGAGAGGUUACCGCAAUGUCCGCAUUUCACUGUCACAGUGUCAAGCAUUCUCUUCAAUGGUAUCCCAACCUAUAUAUGUAUGUAGAUUAGGUUUACAAUUAGUUCAAAAUUUUGAAGAAAAUUUCACAACAUAAACAACAAUAUAUAGAUUCGCAUGCAUGACAUAUUAUCUACAUAAAUAUAUAAGGGUCAUGCACGUAUAUAUGCUUAGCCAUCUUCUGAUUUGUGUGGGUCACUUACCGCGAGGAUGGUGUUGCAGAUGCUACACCGGACGUAGUAGAGAUGUUCGGUUUGAGGGGAAGCCCUUGAAGCUGCCAUGGUUGGUUUCUCUUCAAGGUUCAUGAUCUUUAGCGAAUGGAUUGAAAACCGCUCUUGAAAGAAAGAGAGAGAUAAAGAAUCAGAAGAACUUUGUAGAGUUAGGGUUAUGGUUAUUUUAUGAGUUAGAAGGCUUGUAUUUAUAGAACAAACAUAGUGAGACCAUGAGAUGUAUAGAGAGAGGGAAAGAUUGUCCAAGUGUUGGACGUAUAUGCAGUCCAUAAUUUCAUUUUUAUAAUUUAUUUUAACAACAAUUAAUAUAUAUCUUAUCAAAAAAAAAAACCAAUUAAUAUCUUUUUUUCUUUUUUUUUACCAAUUAAUAUCUUAAACAAAUGACUUGAGGUGUAGACACGAAUUUUGGAGUGUGACAUUAUAAUUUAUGUGUUUUCUAGGGAUAUCUUACUUACUAUUCUAUUUUGUAACCACUGCAAUAAAUGUUUUAACAGAUAAAACAAUUUGGAACAACAAGUUUAAUUUAAAAAAAAAAAAAGUUUAAUUUGACGAUUAAUCUACGUUUCCGCAUGAUUCGGUAAGAUAAAUAAAUUAUACUAAUAUAUUAUUAACUGACUUUUAAAAAAGAUACGCAGAAUUUAAUGUAAAAACAAACUUUUAACAAAUUAAUUUUAUGUCAAAUCAUAUAUAUGAAUUAAAUUAAAGGGACCGGAUCUAGGGCUUUAUGACUUUUAUCUGUGUUGCUACUAUUGCGGAUGAUAGUACAUACUCCCUCUGCAAAAUCUUGCAGACGUAUUUAAUUUUGCUUCAAAAAUAUCAAGACUCUAAAUGUCACUCCUCGUACAUUAGUUUUUGCUAUAAUAAGCUGUGCUGAAGAUUAUUCAAUCAUGUUUUUCGUAUAAAUAUGAUUAUUUUUUAGUUAACACUAUACCUUAAUUAAUCAUGUGUUAUGUGUAAAUAACUCAUAAGUACUAGUCCAAAAUUAACUCAAGAUCAGAAUGAAAACAAACAAUCCAAUACUUUCCUAUACAUCAAUAUUUUCAAAAUAAGCAGAUAUACAUGGUGUAAGAUAUAUAUUCAUGACCAUUGGUUUAAGAUCGAUGUAUAUAUAUUUUCACUUUAUAUUCACCAGCUUCAACAUCGUACAGAUAUUAAUUAUGACACAUAUAUGCGAUGCAAAAUGACAAAAAGAGAUGACCAAUUAAGAUAUUAAAAUUAUAUAUUACAUAAUACAUGGUGUGAAUAUGAUUACAUUCAUUCAAGUUUGAUGCCAGAAGUCUUGACUUGCCCACAUGUUAUAAAUUAAGAAUGGUCCUUUCCUGAUCUUUGAUCUGUUCCUUUUUUUGUUUCUCUCAUAAAAUUUUCACGCAAAAUGAUUUCACUGUAAAACUGAGAACAAAACUUGUCAUGAUUCACAACUUUUUUCUUCAUCGUGAAAAUUUUAACUCAAUUGCAUUAAUAAGUUAAAUACAAAAAUCGUUUAACUGUAGGGAAACAACAAAAAAAAAAAAAAUGGAUCUUCUUUAGACACAUCCAACUAUACAUACAUUGGAUCCAAAAGCAGAAUCUUUUGAUUUGCCACUUAUCUAUGUUAUUUUUUAGUUAUAGGAUUUACAAUUUAUAUUUUAUGUUUAAGGAUGUGUUGUACAUUGCACAACAAAUUUUCUGUUUUAGUUUUGUUUAUUACAUACAUGUAAAAGUUAAGUUCUCUAGACUGUUGGUUUCUGAGGUAUGUAUUAAUCCGAUCCAUAAAAAGAGUGAUAAUUCAGCAACAUUAUUUGACGAACAAAAGAAAAUUCAGCAACGUUAUUUUUUGGGAGAUAAACACACUUUUAUUGCUGAAUUUUAGAUAGAACAAGCAUAUUUGUUAGCAUACUAAUUAUAGGGAAGAUGAGUAAGAUGUGAGGGCGUUGAGCUAAAUCAAAAAUCAAAAAUAGAAACUUGAAAAGAUAGUGAAGAAAAGAGGAGCUAUAGAAUGGAUUCCAUCUUUUGUGCAUGCACUGCCCCACAGGGAAAUUGGAAGGAGACAAGUGAUCAAUCACACGUCUCUUUCAGUGACUAACUUUUUUGCAUUCUUCACUUUCCUUAGAUUUCCUACUUCUACACACAUAUUGGGCUUACUUACAAUUUCAUUUGAUUAAAGUUUUGCUCUCAAUGUUAGAACUAAUAUAUAAAUAGAUUAAUGAAAGUCCUCAAUUUCUUUAGUUGAUAACAAAAAAAAAACAUGAAUAACUCAUUCUAUUUGUGGAAGCCCCCUUGGCCCAUUGGUUGAUCAAGGGUUAAUUAAUGCUUCUACAUCUAGAGGUCUGGGGUUCGAGUCCCAGAUACUGCGAUUUAUUAAUAUAUUUGCAGAUUAUUAGAGGCAAGUAUGCAUGAGAUCUCCAGCGAUGUACAAUUAUAGCCGUUCGCCAGGAUUCUACGCAGAGAGUGAAGUGUCCAUUAAGAGCAGGAAGAAGGAGGUGAAAUAGGUGAUCAUGAAAAAGGAGGUGAAAGAGGUGAUGUCUGUCGUGGAUCUAAUAAAGGUCGGAAGGAAUUGUCAGUUGUAGAAUCGUCUAUGUAACAGUUCUCAUAAUUUGCAAUAAAUAAUAAAUCUAGAAGAAAAAAGAAAAAAAAACUCUUUCUAUUUAAUAUGCUUUGUAAACAUUUAUUUUUAACACUGUACGCUAGUCUAAUUCCAAAAUCUGCAAUAACAAAAUCUCUGAUCGAUUCAUAUCUAAUUUAAAAAAAUUAUUGAUACUUUAUUUUGUUAAAAUUAUUGAUACGUUAUUUUGUAAUCUAAGAAAGUUUAACCAUGCACAAUGAACAAUUAUCCUCAAGUUUUUAUUUAUGUAUCCAUUUUUAUCAAUACAAAAUCUCAUCAUAAAAAAAAAAAAAAAAAUUUAGCAAAUCUCAUCGCAUUGGCAUUAAGAUAGAAAUGUGAAUAUUUUUUUUGAAUAUUUCCAUAUUUUGACUUGAAGCAUACUAAACCAGAGAUGUAACUGAAAAUUUUAGAGUAAGAUUUGUAUAUAAUAAGGUUAAUUGUAUAUUAUAGAAGAUUAGUUGUAUAUAAUAAAUAAGGUAAUCGUGGACUAGAAAUUUUGAUAAGAUAUCUCUGUCUGCAUCUUAAAAAAGGUGACUGAAAUUAAAUUAUGUUUAUUGAAGAAAAGGUUGGGGACUAUGACUGUGAGAGAUGGGACGGUUGCCAAAAAAGGGAAGAGAGCUAAUAAGAAAUUAGGGUUUAGUCAGGUUUCCAUGCUCGUAUAACUUCAUUACUCCGACUCUUUAAAGCUUUGCCUUUACCCUCUCCUCUAGCUAUCUAUCUAUUUAAUACCACCAUUAUUCAUACAUCCACUACUUUUACGUACACUUAAAUAUAUAAUCAUUUUUAUAUUUGUCAUGUAUAUCUCAAAAUAUGCCUUUUUUCUUGUCGUGUACUAAAUUAUUUUGUGCCUAAUUAGCAUGGCUUAGUCGAGUUAAUAUUUAAUGAUAACUAAUUCAUUAGCUACCGGUUAUGAUGAGACGAGCGUUUAGAUUUUUAUUUAUUUGAAUGCACCUAUCAUGGUUUUUGUUUUGGGUAUUAUAUGAUAUGAUAGUUUCGGUGUUCCAAAUUCAGAAUGUGGAAAUGUGUAAUCUAUCACAAAGUAAUUGACCGUUAUAGUGUUUUGUGGGUACAAAAUUAAUAAUGGACAUCAGGACAUAUGUAAUUUGAGCGUGGAAGAGAGGAUCAAUGGAUCAUGAGUAUAUUUGCAAGUCGUUUAGAUUGUUCCUAACGUACUUACGGUAUUUAGUUAAAAGACAAUAUAUAUAUAUAUAUAUAUAUAUAUAUAUAUAUAUAUAAUUCACCAACAAACAAAAUAGAUUACUGUAUGAUCGUUACUAAAUUAAAUCAUUUAUUUUUUAGAGCAACACAGAAUUUUUUACUAGGCUUUAGAUCGUGAAAUCAUCAACUUCACGAUCUAAUCAUCAACUUUAGAUCAUUAACAUCCUCCAUAAUCUCCAAGUAGUCCCACCGUCUAUCAUUUUCAAGGCUUUAGAUCGUGAAAUCAUCAACUCUAUCUACGCAAGGAGGCAUCGAAGGAAAUUCAGGAAAUUAAGGAGUCUUUGGCUCUGAUUUGAACUUCACCAAGUUAAAGAGAUUAGUUGUUUGCUUCCUUGUUUUUUAUUUUCUUUUUGCCAAAGAACCAAAAGUUAGGUAAUCAACAUGUAAAUCCAAACUUUUUUUAUUUUAUAUGAUAUUAACAAUUUAGCAAAAAAAAAAAAAAAAAAUUUCUUACUAGUGACUAGUUAUGUUCAUAAUGUAUAAUAAUUCAAUACUCUCUCUCAACUCUCAAGAAUACAAAUAAAUAUAAAGUAUUAAAUCAAUAUAUAAUUUACAUAGAGGCUUGAAAACAUUUUAUAAUAUAAACAAAAAAUCUCUAAAACAUCUUAUAUUAUGAAACGGAGGAGCCGUAAUAUUUGUUAUAACCGAGUCUGCUAAAUAAACAUUAUCAUUUUCCGUUUUUAUUGGUUAUAUAAAACUGUAGCACAUCAAAAAAAUCUCAAUUUUACAGAUAAGUGGAAUGCAACAUUUGUAAACUUCCUUGAGAGAUCUUUAUUCUUUACCUAAUUAGAAAAACAAGAAAUUCUAUAAUUUGAAAAAAAGAAAAAGUCAAAAGGAAAGUUCACCAAACCCACUUGAGUUUAAUAGAAACACACAAAGCUAAGAAGCAUCACAGUUCACAUCAAACGUAAAGAGGUCUCUACUCAUUCGCAGCUUCUACUCUUCCUUUUUCGGAAACCCUAUCGCUCUCUUUCCGAUUUGACUUGUCUUUAUUAUUAUUAGUUGUUGUUCCUAAUUAAUCACUUUCUCUUAUGUGUUUUCAAUAUAGCACUAGACAACAUAGCCUUUAGUUGAUCUUUCUCGUGCCAAUUUUGAUUCUCUUAUUCUAAAUUACUUCAUCUUCCGCUUCCAUUUAACGUUUUCCUUUAUGAAUUUCUUUUUGACUAACUUUUCUUGUCGACAGUUGUCGUCUCUUUCUCCUAUAUACUAAAUUUUUCAUUCCUUCAACGUUGUUGUGUAGGUAGUUUCUUCUAUCUAUUUGAAAGAUAAGUAAGAAAGCACCAAUAUUUCCUAACCUCCAUCGGUUGCCAUAAAUUUGAUUAUGCCCAAAUGAAAUCUGAAAAAAUAAUGUCUAUAUAUAGGUAAAAUGAAAUCUAAAAUUUCAUACAAAAAAAAUGAAAUCUAAAAACAAAUUGAGUGUCACAUGUUCUUGAUGACUGCUCUUAUGUCUUAUCUGAUUCCUUGCACAAUAGUCCUUUCUUCUCAAUUUGCAUCACAAUAUAAUAUCUUCAUUACACAUUUUGUUUUCCACCCUUCAAUUUGCAACAGUAUAUACAAUUUUUGUUUUGUUUUGUUUAAUAAAUAAAAUAAAAUAACAGUGUUUUGUAUGAUUGUAAUGUAACCCACUUUCAAACUACAAAAUUAAAAGAAGCAAGCCAUCGACUCACAUCUUCAUCAAAAGCAAAAUUCACGCUUCUCACAUUCUCUUUGUAUUCAUGAUUCCAUGCAUCGAUCUCAUAAAAAGGCAACUACGAAUUGUGGAGAAGGACAUCUGUCUUCGAUCCCUUAUUAUACAUCAAAUACUUAAAAAACAAAACAUAUCAUCCAUGAAAUAAGUUGCACUACCUCUUUUUCUACUUCUUUUUUUCCUUAUUUUAGUACCAUCUAGAUUCAGAUCAGGUUCUUGGCAAAAAUAUGAUUUAAGGCUUAAAAGAAUACAAAAUCGCGAUAAAAUCCACCAACAGUUUUUCCUCUACAGUAUGAUCGAUAAUGAGUUUGGAUUUGGUGUGUUGUGCAAAGAUGUUUUAAGUAAAGUGUUUUGCCCCUGAUGACUUUUAGAACCAAAAUGAUGACAAAACUGCAGAUUUAAAAACUACGAAAAAACUUUUAAAAUGAACUGAAUUUACUAGGGUAAAACAAAUAAACUUAGUUUUAACAUCAUUUUUAUGUACAUAUGUUCUUAAUACCAUGCUACAAAUCAUAUACUAAUCGUCCAUUUUGACCCUUUUUUCUUCAUCAUUGCAUCGCAUAGCCUUGCCGCGUCUACAUUAUCUCUAACAUUAUGAACUCUAAUGAUAGUAGCACCUUUUAAUAUCCCUGCAGUAACACAAGCAACAGUUGCAGGAUCUCUUUCACUUGCCUCAGGACGACCACAAAUAUCUCCCAAAAAUCUUUUCCUUGAGGGUCCUAUAAGUAUAGGUGCAUGAGACAAACCUAUACUCUUCUUACCCAUCUCUUCCCUGAUUUUUGGUAGCUCCAUGACAAUUUCUAAAUUAUGAGCUAUUCCCUUAGAAAAUCCAAUUCCUGGAUCAAUCAUAAUCCUCCAAGCUGGAAUCCCAGAGAGUUCUGCCUCUCUUACUCUCUCAUAAAGCUCCGAAGCAACAUCUUUGCAUAUAUCAUUAUACUCCAAAUUCUCUUUGUUUUGCAUUGUACAUGGAUCUCCUCUCAUGUGCAUGAUCAUAUAAGGAACAUCAGAAUCCGCAAUAACCAUAUGCAUGUUCGGGUCUAAACUUCCUCCAGAGACAUCAUUCAAAAUGUCAGCUCCAUUUCUUAUUGCUUCUAAAGCAACCUCAGAGUUAAAAGUGUCCACUGAUAUGAGCUUUCCUUUCAUCUCAGCCAUACCUCGAACAACUUUUAAAACCGGAAUUAGUCUAUCUAUCUCUUCUUGAGUAGAAAUUCUUGAGGCCAUUGGCCGCGUUGACUGUGCACCGAUAUCAAUAAUAUCGACACCUUCAGAGAUCAUCAAGCGGACUUGAGAAACCGCUGAAUCUAUAGAUUGAAACUUACCUCCAUCACUAAAGCUAUCAGGAGUAAGAUUAAGUAUACCCAUCACAUAAGUUUUCUUAGAAAAAUCCCAUAAAUCAUCUCCUAUUGGUACAACCCUUUGUAUACCGCCUUUUGCAAGCAAUGAUUCACCACCUAACCGCUCCCACGCUUGAAAAACUCCACCUGGAUGGAUUGAGAGUGAAUGCCAAUAUGAAACUAUAUGAUCAUUAUCAAUAUCUUCUGUUCCAAGCAAAUCUACCAAAGGUGCUAAUACAAAUGGUCUUUCCCAGAUUCUCUCAUGGGGAAUGAUGAGUUUAUCAGAAGUUAUUCUAUGCUUCCCAUAGAACAAUAUGUCCAAGUCAAGUGGUCUUGGUCCAUACCUUAAACCAUUCUCUUUACGACCCAUCUCUUUCUCAAUUUUCUUGAGAAUGUUCAAGAGUUCAUGAGGUUCGUGCUUUGUGGUACCUCUUAUUGCAGCAUUGAGAAAUCUUGGUUGGUUGGUCACAUGAACAGGUUCUGUUUCGUACAAACAACUAUGUCUUAUUACACAGAUCCCAUAGUCUUUCAUCAAUCGUAAAGCUUCUCUAAAAUUAUUCAUUCUGUUUCCAACAUUGCUUCCUAAAGCAAUCACUACUUCUUCUAAAGUUGUUGUUUCCAAAGAUGCGAAAUCUGAGUCAUAUACAAAAUAUGUUUCGAAGGUGAAAUAGGAUUCAAAAAAUUUAUACUUUUCUAAAUAAUUACUUAAACAUAGAUAGUGUAUCAAUAAUCAAAACGUAAACAAUGAAAAUGAAACGGAUGAAGAAGAUACGAACCCAUUUUAGAUUAUUAUAUUCUGUUCCGGCCCAAAUAACACUAUUAUUUGCUUCGAUCUGACCUGAAAGUAUACAAAACUAUGAGUUUAGUCCUUCUUUUUUUGUGUGCAAAAACUAUGAGUUUAGUCUUAGAUUAAAAAAAAAAACAAUUAUCAGAAACACAAAAUGGGUUCUAAUAUUUUAAGAAGAACCAAAGAAGUAAACAAUACUUUUUUAUGAGAGAGAUAAGAUGGUAGCCAAUUUUCACAUACUUUUUCUCUGAACUAGUUUUGUUAUUCGAGUACCUUGUGUCUUUCACGCUCGUCAAAAAUCAGCUUCUUUCGAAUUAGAUAUGAAGGUUUAGAAAAAAAAAGACAAAAAAGAGAAGAAAACUUUGUUAAAGAGAUUUUGAAAUUGGUAGUGAAUCUCUCAUAGUUGGGGUGAUGUAAAAAAGAGGGAUGUUACCAAUUAAAUACCAGUUCAUCUCCAUAGUAAACAAUUAUGAUCAGUUCAAUCUAACAAUGAAGAUUGAUGAAUUUGCUUAUUCCUCAUUUAUUUACAUUUUACUAUCUUUAGAUAAGUGUAAUAAUCUUUUACCAAGUGCACUCUUUCUAUUUGAUAAUGUGUAAUAAUCUUUUACCAAGUGCACUCUUUCUAUUUGACAAGUGUCAUACGUUGAUAUUUUAAUUAUUAUUUUUGUCUUUUUUAUAUGAUUUAUUCUGUAUUAUGACUUGAUAAUUGAUCAUAUCAUCUAAUUAACUCUUAUUGUUCAAAAAGUUUCUAUUUAAAAUUUCCUACUUUGAUAUUUUAAUAUCUCUUCUUAUCUCUUUCAUAUGAUUUUUUUCUAUUUAAUGACUUGAUAUAAUCUAAAUAUAUUUAGUUUUCCCACAUCUAAAUGUAUUUAGUUUUCCUAUUUUUCUAUAGUUGUUUUCUUAUAUCAAUUUUGUAUUCAGAAAAUUUUCUUUUCAUUAAUUUUAUUAUCUAUUCCAUUUUUUUUACUAUUUAAAUAUAUAUUUGGAUAGAUGAUGGAAAAAUGUGUGUUACAGUCCAAUUAUUUAAUUUCCACCUUUAAAACCACAUCAUUUUUUUGUUCGUCAACCACAUCAAAUUUUUCAUUUAUAAAGUUUAUUGAAUUUUUUUGUGACUACAUCAAUAUUCUUGCAUACCAAAUUACCGAUAGUCGAUUCAACUGUUCUGUUUUUUUUUUUUGUUAUCAUAACUCGAAACAAUAUUAUUUUCAUUUAUUUAGCAAAAAAAUAGCCGUUUUACUUUUACCAUAACAUUAUUCUUCUCGUGUUAGAAUUUGUAUUAAGUUUCUCAUCACACCAGAUGUAUAUGAUUUCAAUGAAUGGUAAGUUUUCGUGGCUUUGUUGGAAGCCAAUUAACUUCACAACGAACAAAAUUUAUCCUUGCAGUAAUUUUUAUAUAGCAAACGAUUUCACGAAAAACUACACAACAAUGCAAUUCUACCUACACUUAAAAAAAAUAUGUACUAUAGAAUAUAGAUUAUUCUAAAUGCACUAUGCUUACGGUAUAUAUAUAUUUUUUUAUGUAUCACUAAAAGUGUAAAACUAUCAUAUUUUUCUUACUGAUCACAAAGAAGAAAAAUGAGCCGUAAAUAAAUUUAGUAAAGAAGAGUAUGGACAUCUUGACGUUUUCACAUUUACAACAUAGAACGCGUGCCGUUUUGUUAAAGCGCUAAACCUCUCCCUCAUCCUCUCCCAGCUAGCUCUCCUCUUGCGGUUUCAGAGCUUAAACCCCAAUCUCCCUCAAACUCAUAAACUUAUUGCUCUCCUGUGUUGAUUUCUGGGUUUAGGCUUCUUUCGACUUUAUGGGUUUCGGAGCUUAGUUUCAGUACAAUUUCGUUUCGAAAAGAGCUCUUAUUUGAUGUCCAUGGCGUCUCUCUCCUUCACCCAAUUCUUAUCAUUUCCCAGGUCCCUUUGCUUCUAUCGCUCUUGUUUUCUUCCAUGGGUUUCUAUGGAUUUGGCGUAGAACUACUUUGCUGCCCAGAAAUGUGCGAAUGCUUUUCUUAUCUUUCUACAGAAGAAUGAGUAACAAUGAUUUGAAUUGAGUGCUUUUUUUCGCUGAUUUGUAUCCACUUUCUUGUUCAAUUUAGUGGAAAGCCAUGUUAUUUCUGUUUGAAAAUUCCACAUUUUGAUGUCAUGGUUUUCUCAUAGCUGUGCUUAAUUUUGGCAGAUGCAAUGCAGAUGUUCCUUGUCUGCUCCAGUCGCUGGGUUUUGUGAAGUUUAGAGGUGAAAGAUGGAAUGGGAAACAAAGCUUUCCUAUGGCUGCUGGUAGGAGAAAGCUAUCAGAGUCAGCCCCUCUUGAAGACGAAGGCAAUGAUGGAAACGGGGCGGUUGGGGGGAAGAAACCAUCGAAAAGUGUUAGGAGAGGUGGUGCUCGAACAACGAAGAAGAAGGUGGUAGCAACUGAUGAACCAUUAGAAGAAAGUUCUCAACUUUUGGUAGAUAGUGAUGGUGUUUUAGACAAGGAAAGCACUGUUUCAGCUUUGAAACCAAAGACAAGAACUAGAAAGAAAGGUAAUGACUUUACCAUUUCUGAGAUGAUUGGUCCUCACUUGAUGAUUCACUAGUGCAUAAUUUGAAUUCUACAUAUUUACAGCUGCAGCAGCUUCUUCUGAUGUGGAGGAAGUAAAAACCGAGAAGAAAGUGAGACGAAAGAGGACUGUUAAGAAAGAUAAAGAAAUGGAGGAUGAUUUAGCUACUAGUACUCAUGACGAGGUUAGUGAUGUCGAGGAAGCCUUGGCUGUUGAAAGCACUGAUACCGAGAGUGAAGAAGAAGAGAUUGAUCUGAGUAAACAUGACAGUGAAGAUAUUAGUCACACUUAUGGAUGGCCUCCUCUUGUGUGUUGCUUUGGAUCUGCACAACAUGCUUUUGUGCCCUCGGGAAGGCCAGCUAACAGGCUAUUAGAUUAUGAACUACACAAACGGAUGAGCGAUGCAAAGUGGGCCCCGGAGAAGUAUAUCCGGGCUCCUGGAGGAUGUGCAGGAGGUGUUGCUAUUGCUCUUGCAAGCUUGGGUGGUAAGGUUGCUUUUAUGGGCAAACUCGGGGAUGAUGACUAUGGUCAAGCCAUGUUGUAUUACCUGAAUGUGUGCAAAGUCCAAACUAGAUCAGUUAAGAUUGAUGGUAAAAGGGUUACGGCAUGUUCUACUAUGAAGAUCAGCAAGAGAGGUCGCUUGAAAUCGACUUGUAUCAAGCCCUGUGCAGAGGAUUCACUUUCAAAAUCUGAAAUCAACGUUGAUGUGCUCAAAGAGGUAAAUAUUGUCUUGGAGAUUUGGAACAUUGAGUUUUUUACUCUUUUUCUUGUUCACCAAUCUCUUAACUUUGAUGCAGGCGAAAUUGUUCUACUUCAGCACGCAUUCUCUACUCGAUAAGAAGAUGAUGUCGACUACGAUACAAGCCAUCAAGAUAUCAAAGCAACUAGGCACUGUCAUUUUUUAUGACUUGAAUCUCCCUUUACCACUAUGGCAGUCCAGCGAAGAAACCAAGUCUUUCAUACAGGAAGUGUGGGAUCUUGCAGACAUAAUUGAAAUCACAAAACAGGAACUUGAAUUCUUAUGCGGAAUCGAGCCAACUGAAGAGUUCGAUACAGAAAACAAUGACAUCAGUAAGUUUGUCCAUUAUCCGCCAGAAACUGUGGAACAGCUUUGGCAUGAAAAUCUCAAGGUCUUGUUUGUGACCAAUGGCACUUCUAAGAUCCAUUACUAUACCAAAGAGCACAAUGGUGCUGUUUCUGGAAUGGAGGAUGCUCCCAUUACUCCUUUUACAAGGGAUAUGUCAGCAUCUGGAGAUGGCAUCGUUGCAGGUACACUUUUCGCUGUCUUUUUUUUGUUUCUCAUAGCAAUUGGAAAGUUAUGCUGGUGUUAACUGAACUACAUUACUCUCUAUUUCAGGUCUAAUAAGAAUGCUUACGGUUCAGCCAGAUCUUAUGAACAAUAAAGGGUACCUGGAACGAACAGCAAGAUAUGCAAUUGAGUGUGGUGUUGUUGAUCAAUGGUUGCAGGCACAAACCCGAGGAUAUCCUCCAAAGGAUGACAUGGAAGAAGAAGAUGAUGAUGAAGAAGAUGAAGUGGAAUCAGAUCCAAACGGUAUAAGAUCGAUAACAGAGAGGGAAUACCAAACCUCAAAGCCUUAUGAUGAACCAGAUGGUCCAUACGUUAUGAAACCAGUAGAGGAAAGGGAAUACAAGAAGUUAGAGCUUGUUGGCUCAAUGUUUGAAGAUGGUAGUUUAUGAUUUUCAUAAGAACUGAUAUUAUUUCUGUUAGUCAGCUUUUUUCCCUGUUCGCAUCUUACAACAUCUUAGUAGUGUGAAUUUUUGUCAUAUGUUUUAAUAUCUAGACCAUUAUAUUAAACACAACCUAGUGUACACUAGUGAGCUUAGAGAAGAUAUGUCUAACGGGAUAGAGAAAUGAUCCAAAAACAGCAAUGUGAAACCCUUAGAGACAAUGAACUUCCUUUACUAGCAACUCUACUUCUACGUCUACUUAACUAAUCCAAGUAGAGAUUUAUCUUCUUGUGAUCUGUGAAAGGCAGUGUGAUUCUCAAGUCCUUUUGUUUCCGGCUUAACGGUCUGCCUUUGCUUUCGGGAUCUCUGUUCUCCUUCACAUCUGCUAAUUUCCAGACACAGUUAUCCGAUUCUGCAUCGAUAGACUCCAAGAGAAACACUGCAGUUUUCACUACUUUCCUUGAGUUGGUUUUCUCUACAUAGCUUACUGUCAUUGGCAUCUCCUUAAAUCGAGGCAAGUCCUCUGGAACUCUCAGCAGCCUCUCAGCUCCUGGAGAUGACACCUUUACAGAAAAAAACAACACGGACACAAGAUUUAGAACAAAUUGACCCUGAGUGGUCGUUGAUUCAUGGAGAAAGACUCUUUUUACCUCAAGGGCUAGAUCCUCUGGGAUUACUUUUUCAGCCCCAGCAUCAUCUAGUCUUUUCUUAAAUUCCCGACUAAAUUCCUCAAGCUUAUCCAUGGUAGGACAUCCAUAUCUUUGUACAAGGAAAAACAAGAAGCUUUCUUUAGUUUCUGAAACAUACUGCUUUCGCAAUGGUUUGAUAUAGAAGGGUGAAGAAUCUUACUCAUUUGAGAGUUUGUCUAGUCUGACAUAUAUAUAUCCACGAGGUGAAGUUUUGAAAGCAAACAAUUCCAACUCUUCCUCAGACUGUUUCAAAACUUCUGCAGCAAUAGAGAGAACUUUUUCACCCCAUGGCACAUCUCGAAGAACAAUUCCACCACCAUCUCCUCCAUCACCAAGCUGUAAAACAGAAGAAAGAUUAGCUUAAAAGAAUCGAAGAAUCAGAGUAGCGAAGUGAUGAGAAAAUGUAGGAGAACUAUACAUAAGAUUCAACUUCCUCAUCUUCUUCUUCUUCCCAAUCUUCUAUGACCUCAACAUCAUCAGUUGUUUUAUCUGCCAAUUGGAUUGGAAGCAAAUGUGUUAUGAGACCAACAGUAUCUUAUGACCUUUAGGAAAUACCAGCUUCUAUGGACAAGAAAAGACAGUUUCUAACUUAGAACAUACAAAAAGUGUGUUACAUGAGACCAAACGUUUCUGACUUGUCAGGAAACUCUUAAGGGGCAUUUACAUAACUCAACUGCGAAAACAUUAAAAUUCUAAGGUGAAGCAACCGUUUGGCUAAAAGUGAGCAACAUUAAAUUUUAUAAGCAGGAGACAUUUUAACAAACACCUUAUAGACACGAAAAAGACCUAAACAAAUUCUAAACCCAGAAGAUAGAGAGGCAGUCAAAGAAGACAAGGUUGAUUUAUUUUAUCUUACAUUCAAAAGUGUCUUCUUCGCCGCCAUUACUACCGGCGGAUUUUGGCGGUCGAACUGAAGGAGAAGGAGAAGAAGACGAAGAAGAAAACCUAGAGAUUGAAGAAGAGAAAGGAAAAUAGCGAGGAGGAGUCGUCUUUGGAAGUAGUAAGGAAGAAGAAAAUUGCCUAACGGAGAACCAAGUCGCCGGUGAGGUUAAACGGCGAGAAGCUCGAAACAAAGCAGAGAGACUUUGGUAUCUCACCAUGCUUCUUCGAAUUACCCACAGGACACGACUUGUAAUAAUAUUUAUUCAACCUAAGGAAUUCUAUUUAUACGAGUGUUAUAAAAUCCGUUUCUUACAUUCAAUCUUCUAGCAAUUGUGCUAAGAGGAUACAAAAUUGAUUGGUUUUUAAAAAAACGUUUAGGAAAAAUAAAGAUGUACUUGUCGAGCCAACCUAUACUAUACUAAUACAAGAGUAGCAACAGAUAUGAACAUAGAAAUACUUAGAGGCGGAGAAUAGUGCGAAGAGUAUCGCAUAGAUUUUGAAUGGUUUGCUGCUCCUGCGUUGCUUGCAAUUCCUGCAGCGGCAUUUCCUCGUAACACCUGCAAUCAGCAGAAUGGGUUUUUAGGUUUCUAGUCCUGACAUUUAAACAAAACAAAAACAUUUGCUAUUAUCUCCCACGUACGCUCUGUGGUAUGCUAAAACUUGUGCAAGGUUCAUUAGAGAAGAGCUUGUAGUCAGUCUUUGGUAUACGCUUGGAGGAAGAGGCAUCUGCAGAAUAUAUUUCAUACCCCCACAGAUUAUUAUAAAAUUAUGAUUCAUUCACGUUAUAUAGAGUUCAGAGAGAGAGAGAGAGAGAGAGAGAGAGAGAGAGAGAGUUUCGACCUCGUUUUGUCCACGUCGACCCUUUUUGGAUUGGGGAUCAGAAGUGAAGAGCUCCUGAAGUGCUUCAACGGCUACAGUUCCAUUCCCAUCUUGUUGCAUGCCUCCGAUCAUGUUCUCUGACAAGAGUGCAAUUGGGGAUAUAUCUGUUGCUCUCAAGAAUGGUAUUGGUACUGUGUUUCCAGCUGCGUAGAUUGACCAUAACUGCAGGAAAGUAGACACAUUUUAACCCAAACACGCCAUUGACUAGACUGUCGCACAGACACAGCACAAAACUAACUAACCUUAUCUUGCAAAGCAAAAGCUUUCCUGCCAACAGUUUCAUUUUUCAAGGUACUACCACUUGCAUCACUGCCACCUUCAAUCUGUGUUCCAGCUAUGUUAUUUAGCUUGGUUCUAUGCUCAUGAGACGAACUGGCCUGGAUGCUCUGUGAAGUCGAAGCUUCAAUUGGAAGAUCGAUACCCGGAGGAUUCUUUUUGUCAUGUAUCCUAGAAACCAAUAUCAGGUUAAAUUAUGCUCAAGAAGCAAGUUCAUCAUCAGAUCCUGAUUGUUAUAUAUCCAUGUAACUUUCUUUUCAAUAAAUUGGAUGAUCUGAAGGAAAAUUUAAGCGCCUAUUUAUGUAAGUAGAUAUGCCCCCGAUAAAGUAAAAAAAAAAGGAUUACAAAGAUAAAAUACCAUGAGUCAGGUAAUUCUUCUCCGGAGACUUCGCGAGAAACACCUUCAACCUGAGAAGAUGAAGAUUCUUCUUUCUCUUUGACAAGUUGAGACCUGGAGUCACUCUCCUCUGCCUCAUCCUCACCAUGAACGAUCAUAGUUCCAAAGUCACCACCUGAUCACAUGAACCAGUGGAAACAUUAAGUUACAUGCUUUUGAAACCAUGAAGGGAGAAAACUCACAACAGCUUGGAUGCUAAAAAAGCUGCUGAAUAAAUCAUCAAAACAUCAUCCCCUAGAGUUUACUAUACAUCUCCAAGAAAAUGCACUCAACAAUUCUCAUGAUGGUUCGGAAAUGCAGAUUGCCAACUUGUAAAUUACUACAUAACAGGCUGAGGUUCACAGCACAUGUUUAGAGAAGCAUACUGAUUAGUCAACAACAACACACCAUUUGGUUGAAUUCCUUAUGUGGAAGUAUGCAAUAUGGACAUAGAUACGCAUGCAUAUAAUACUUGCCUUCUCCAGCCAACACAGUGUUGCCAGUUAUAUGCUGCCGAUUCAGGGUGCCAGUUAGAGGUGCUUCGGUGGAAUUUUGAGGAGGUUUAGCUGGAACAGUAAUUCCUACCUCUUCAUUUGAUUUUGGACCCAGUGUUGACUGUUACAAGAUUAGAUAUUAGGAAAGAAGAUGGGGGUAACUAAGAGAGGGGUAACCGUUUCAGAAAAACAAUACAUACAGUGUCCUCCGAAGAAGGUGCGACAACACUUUGCGCUUGCAAAGCCAUUACAGCUCUGAUUUGUCUGGACUUCUCAAUCUUUGGCGACAUUGCGGAAGCCCCAGUUUUACAUCUCUCAACAAAUUUGUGCUGAAUUUAAAACCAAAGAGUAAAUGGCAUCAGCAGAACACAGAGAACUUAAACACUAAAUUGCAUGCCAGUUAUGAAAUUGAUGGUAAUUCUGACAACUAAAGCUGAAGACAUCCUAAUAUUGACAAGACAGAGUCACAGUUAGCUGAAAAGAAAGAAAAAUGGAAGGAAAAAAGAGCGCAUUGAGAUACACAUACUAACGAUCUCUGGCGAACAGGCAAAAGACUAUCAUAGUUUACCUUAAGCAUCUCAGCUGCAGUUGGGCGAAGACGUGGUUCCUUUGUAAGGCACUUUGCAACAAAAUCAUGAAAGACCAGGGACCUGCAGAAAGUAGCAACCAACAGUCGAAUGUUGCAUAAGAUAUUGCCAAGACCUCUUUAACGAGAAUUGCAUUACUAUGAUUCAGAGCGCUUGUAGGUCAAUGCUUUUGUAUAAAAGUAUGCUGCUAACCACAUAUAUAAGUUUUCUUUGCCAAUGCUAGAAAAAUUAUUAGACCCAUGAGAAAAAUCGUUCUGAAGCUAAUAAUAGACCAUCAAUCGAUAAAGCACUGUAUAUAUUGUGGAUAUGCAAUUACUACAGCACCUGUGGACCCAUACGUCUAUGAAGCGACUACAAGGAACUAUACUUUUCACAAUAUAAGGUGCUGAUUGCGCUUGGAUGAUUUGGAAAAUUCUCUUCUGCCUUAAUGAUAAUCGUCGUGACAAUUCUAAAGAGGUUGAAGACAUACCAUUUUUCUUUAUCCUCGAGCAUUGGAGCUGGCUCGAUGGAUAUCAUGAAUAAAACCUAACAAAGACAGAUGUUUGAAAUGAGAUAUUAAAUAACGACAAUAGCAUGAUAAGAUUAGUGGCCAUCAAGUAAGCAAACAAGCAAAAGUUUCUCUCUCUUACGUAGUAUUCAACACUAACCAAUCAAGAGAAGGCCUUUUAAGAGUAUUUCAAGACCUCCAUUUUCUAGCCUAAUAACUCUCAUGUUUAUGAAAAAUUUCAUACCAGGUCUAUACAAAUUUCAUUCCAUUUCAAUUUAUAGGACAAACUUAACAACAGCAAGCUGCUUUGAGAUUGGUUUAUAACAGACCUAACCAAACCACUUACAACCAAAGUUAAUAAAUGGUUCGAGCCAACCACAUUUACAGAAACUCUUGAAACGAAGCCAAACUCGCACUGAUGUGCAACAAAUUGUUUUAGGUUUGGCUUCAAGUCAUUCCUUUCAAUUUUCCAAGCAGAGAAAAAAAACAAAACCAUUAAAAAGGGCGAGACUGUAUAGUUUGCCCAUCCUAAACUCAGCAAGGUAUCUGAUCACUUGGAAACAUAAUUAAAAAGCAAGAUGGCUUAAUAUAAAUAUACCAACCCUCAUCGGAUGAACUGCUGAUCUUGGAGGAAGCCCCUGUAAACAACACAACCAAAAGUCAGAAGAAAACCACAGAAUUAUUAAGAAUAAAAUAAGGAAGAAGCGAGUUAAGUGACAAGGGGUCAAAAGUGUUAAUCAAAAUGUACAAUUUUCUUCUUUUUUCCACAACAUGUCAGGCGAGACUCAGUACAGCUAACAGGACAAUCAGCUCUCAAAACAGUCACUAACUUAGCUUGCUUGCACAAUUGUCGGAUAAAAAGUACUAAACUGUCACCUAAGAGAAGUAGUCCCAUAUUACCUCUGCCAUCUCGAUAGCUGAAACACCAAGAGCCCAUACAUCCACCUGUAUUAAAGAGUCAAAAUGUCAUCAAGUUGUAAACAGGAAAAUCCUUAAUUCUACUCUCUAGAAAACUUCGCAGUCUUAGUUUCUAACUGGCUUAUGUACCAGAUUCUAAUUUCCUCUAAAAGUAGCAUCCUGUGAACUGGUAUGCAAACCCAUUUUUAGUAAAACCUUAAUUACUUUCUUCAAGAGAUAUAAUAUUAGAUUUAGUAGACGUGAAAAUUUAAACUCCAGCAAUUAACAUUUAGAUAUGAAAGGGACCACUAAAUCAGUCCAUAAAAUGUGAAGUUUUUUAAAUUAAUCGAAAAACUUGAAGGAGUUUAUCAGACAAUUUACUGUCAAAUAGGACACCUACCUUCCCAUCAUAACGAUUUUCCUGAAUAACCUCCGGGGCCAUCCAAUGUGGAGUCCCAAUGAACUUCAAACAAGACAAAACAUUAAAGAAUCCACCAUCAGGCGCAGAAAGUCUCUAAGGCUUUAAUAGCCCGACUGAUCAAAGAAAGCUUGAAGCAUUAACCAUAGGAACUUUAUUCAAAUAUGUAUUUACCGUGUUUCGCUUCGACAUAGUCCGCGUAAGUUGAGCUGCAACCCCAAAAUCACCUGAAAAGAUAAGGUAGCGAACUUUGGAAUCAGCAUGCAGCUGUAAAGCAAUAAAUAAAAAUUCUAAUUAAAAACCGAUAAGGCUAAGGAAGAUUCUAAGCUUUAAAACAUAAAAGCCUGCAUGUGUAAUAAAAAUAACAUAAGUAAAGGCAACUCUUCAAACAGGUGGUUAUAUAAUUCCCCAAGCUAACUUACCCAACUUGACCUCUCCUUGUUCAGUUAACAAGAUAUUACCACCUUUAAUGUCUCUAUGGACUUUAUAUAUUGAGUGCAAGUAUGCAAGGCCCUACAAAAUAGAUACAAACAGAAGUAUAAGGCCUAAAACAUGUUGAAGCAAAUGAGCGCAAGCAAAGACGGAACCAUCAAAUACAGGAGAGCAGACAUCAUUUUUCUUCUUCAUGCUUCUAGCCAUUCUAUAAAGUGAAAAAGGUACAGACAAUUGUGUGCAUACCUUCAACGCCUCCCGGCAUAUAUAUGCUAUCUGAUACUCCUCCAACGCCUCCUCGGUAACAUUCAUAAGAUCAGCAACACUUCCACCUCCACAAUACUCCAUCACUAUCUGUCAGAAGACAUAAAUUAAUAACUAGAGAGAGCGAAUACAUAAACUAUAAUAUAUAAACGAAGAAAAAAAAACUGAUUCCAAAUAGUAAGAGCUCCUAUAUACAACAAAGAUAACCAAGCUGAGGCCCAGAUGCUCACCCAAAGAUAAUCUUCUCCUUGGUAACUCCCAAGGUAGCGGACAACAUUUGGAUGGUUACACUGCUGCAGCAUCUCAAUUUCUCCCCGGAUCUCUUCAUAUCCCUCCUCCUGAUAAAAGUAGAACUUGAAUCACAUAGAGUGCUUUAGCAACUAUGACAUUUUAACUUAUGCUGAGGACAAGCUUUUAAUACCCCUUCAGUAAGUGAUAUGACUUUAACAGCAACAAUCUCCGAUGUUUUCAAAUCUCUUGCCUUGUAUACAGAUCCAUAUGAUCCUUUCCCUGCCAAUCCAGAUGCCAGAUUUGAUAUAGUAAGCAAAAAUUGGAACAAGCACUGAGGGAUAUUGAUAGCUGAUCAUGAUCAUAGCAACAUAAUGGAGCAAAUCCGAUAGAGACAAACACCAAAUUAACUCUAUGAAGCUAGAUAUGCUAAUUUACCAAGUUCAUUGAGGAAUUCGUAUUUGGUGGUUGGAUCUUCUCUAGUAAUGCUAUCCGGAAGAGACGUAGUCGACAUCUUACUGUUCUGCUGCUGCAUUUUCCGAUUAUCUUCACCUUGAAGCUUCGAAGAAGAAGAGGAAGGAUCCAAUUUCCGAGUCUUACCACCAAAAUUUGAUUUCUGCAUACUCGCAACAGCUCUUCCCAUAGUUGACAUAUCAAUCUCCUUCUCUUUAUUCUUUCCCUUUUUAGACGAAGAUUUCACAACAAACGUACCGUACUCUCCGUCAUCAUCAUCAUCUUCUUCUUCUUCGUCUUCCUCAUCGGAAGAUUCCUCAUCUCCACCUCUCGCUCUCCUCCUAGGACUAACUCCCAUACGCGGUUUGGAAGAGUACGGACUGUUCUUACUAUGACUACUCCGAUCUGUUUUCACAAUCAUCGUGCCGAAAUCUCCGGUUUCGUCACCGUCGUCGUCGUCGUAAUCGAGCGACGCGCCGCCUCCGAAAUCUUUGGGAAGACGCUUGAGAAGAGGAGGAAGCAUAGAAUCGUCUUCAUCAUCUUCCUCUCCUUCUCCGUCACUAUCACCUUUGUAAACCAUUGUAGCGUAUAAAUCGACAUUUUCGUCUUCCUCAGGUUUGGCUUUACGUUUAUCUCGAUUUCGACCUUGAUCAGAAUCGGAGUCGGAGUGGACUACGAAAGUGGAGUAUAUGUCGGAUUUGGGCUCCGGUUUCCGGCUCCGACGAGAUCUCGGCGAGUUAUGAUCCAUCUAUGGCGGCUCUAACCGUCGUCGCCGGGAGAGAGAAAAAGAGAGUCAGGCAGACUACUUCUCGUCGUUAAAAUUAAUGAUGAACAAAAAAAUCAUUAAAAAAAAGGAAUGGGCCAACUAAAUUUUUUUGCAAGCUGGAAUAUUAAUUUAAUUCUAUGUUUGUCUAUGCACCCUCUAAACAUUAGUGUUUCUUGCAUAAUUAUUUGUUACAGUAAAUAUAUAUUGGUGUAAAAAAAUAAAUAAUGGUUAUAAAGUACGACAAAAAGUUGCAGAAGAUAGAGAAAAAAAAAGAUAACGGUAUAUUCCGUUGAAGAAAAAAAAAUGGUAUAUUCCGUUUUGACCUUACCGUUUUACCGAUUACCAAUUAAAGUGUUCAAUUGCGGAAAUGGGAUACAAGAUUGUUCUUAUUCGUUUUUCUUUAACAUUUAUUUGAGGUUUUUAUGAAUCGAAACGUGAAAAAAAUAGUAGAAAUCUAGAGAGAAUGUUAUUGUUUGAAAGACGAGAAUACAACAAUUGAAUCACAUAGAAAUUUAGAGAUUAUACAGAUUUUAUAUUCUGCUAGGGACCAAGAGGCAAGAGGUUCCACGAAAAUGAUACAAGGGUGACUUGGGAUAAAGAAGAUAGAGUGACCAAGUUUGCCUCAAAUAGCUAGUUGCUACCACCACCAAAGAGGUAAUUCAGAGACGAGCCACCUCCUGGAGCUGAGUGAACUUUGGUCGAUGGCCGGUCCUGCACAACAACCACAAGAUGUUUUCGUAACUGUACCAUAACUUUUAGACAUUUGAUUACUUUGUUAGCGCACAAAAAAACAAAACAAAGCUUCAUUGUCAGCCAACUAAUCUAAAAAAAGUAAGACGCAGAUUUUUUUGCUAUCCGAUAACCAGCACACAGAACCCGAUUCAUUGAAAGAAGGAGACAUACCGUAAUGAAGUUGCCUGUGUUCUGUCCUUCUGCACGCAUGUAAUUAUUUGUAGAGUUGCUAUUGAGACCAGCAGGAACUUGUUUGAUGCUAUCAACAGCCUUUGGAGCAGCAGUUUGAAGAGGUGGAGCAGGAGCAGAAGACUGGGUUUCGGCUGGAGCUUUGUUAACGGUUGAUGGCUUUGGAGCCUCUCCGCUCCCAAAAAGAUAUCCCAAAGAACUCUGCCCUCCACCGGCACUAACUCCACGACCCAUUCUAUCUCUCUUGCUUCUCUCAAAGAUUCUUUAGCUUUUGGGUUCAAAAAUAUGAUAAAAUCUUGAAUCAGAAUCAUAUUUUACACAAAAACAUUAUCCACUAAACGAUAUGAAACAACAAAAAAGAAUAGUGGAGUGAUCACUCAAUUAAUCAUAAUUUGUUUGUGAAAGCUUCUGUUAAAAAACAUUCACAUCUACAACGCAACAAAACCAAAAUAUGAAUUAAGACUUGAGAGUCAUUAACAACUUAUCAUCACCAAUAUAAUAACAUCAUUGAAAAGACUUGCCAGAUGAAUUUUGAACCACACUAUCUUCAUCUUACCCUAACAAAAGCAAUUGCUCAAUAACCUAGCUAGAGGCUAGAGUAUACAAACAUUCUUUCAUACAUCAAUCAAAUUCUGCAUAUCCGAACCUAUCCGUUGAUGCAAUGCUAUAUAUGAACACAACAUGUCAACAUACAGAGAAAAAAAACAACAAAUGAAAAAAACUUCUCAAACAAACACCUAAGUCGAGAAGGAAACAACACAAAACACCAAUCAAGUUUACCUGAUCAGCAAGGUGAUUUGAGAAGAAGCCAAGAAGAAGAGCCAAUGAGAGAUAACAAGAAGCCUGUGAAUUGUGAUAUAUAUAUACUAAAUAAAGGUGACGGAAAAUAGUAAGGUAAUGCUUAUCUGGCACGUCAUUAUCCAACAGAACAACAAUCACUGUAUAAGCCGGUGUCGUUUUGUAACUUUAAACCUUUUUCUAGUGUAAUCCAAAAAUUAACUUAGCUUUCUUCCUAAUCUUUUUGCAUUAGUGAUUCAAAACUUUUAUAAAGCAUUACUGUUUGAUAAAACUGUUACAAAUUAUAAAAAAACGGACCCAUUCUCAAAUGUGUUUUUGUUCAUAUCUCUCCAAAAAAAAAAAAAACAAAUCCGACAAUCUCUAACUUUAUGUUUACAGGAUCCUAUGUCCGGUUCGGUUUACAUAACCGGUAACAUUGAUCAAGAAGAUUUCUUGGGAGGUAAUUGAGAAAUCUCGACGAGUAUUCGGUUCAAAGACUGAGGACGAGAGAAGAAUGGUGCAUGAUCAGAGCCCUUGAGAUUGAAAACUUGUUCAGGAGGAUUCGAUUUGAUCAUUGCAUCUUGUAGAGAAACCGGUACAGCGUAAUCAUCCUCCAUGGUUUUGAUGUAGAACCGUCGGAUUGAACCGUAGUUUUUCUCCGACACGUGAAGCUUUUCGACCACUGGCGCGAACGGGAUCGGUCUCAUGGAUACCGACGCUAAUGCAACGUCCUGUACCAAAAAAAGACAAGUCGGGUUUAGUUAAACCGAAUUGUACCGGUUCAGCUAUUUAUUAGCCUUAUGUGUAGUGUACCUUUGGAGGGCUCUGAUUAAAGAAAAAGUCUCUAAGCAAAGAUCUGUCGAAAUCAACGGCUGUUGGAGGGUUCUUUUUUCCGUUGGCGUACAGAAAUAGAUGGACUUGUUCCAUCAGAUCAUAAUUUGAGUCAGGCUGCAAAUCAAAUGGUUGCAAUUAGAUUUUAAAAAUUUUUGGUGCUUAGUUAAUUUUAACAAGAUAUUGUGUAAAAUAAUUUGUUAUCUUAUCAUUUUGGCAAAUAAAUGCCAAAAUUAGGCUACUUAGUGCAUAAACUCUUUAAAAAAUAGAAACAAAUGUUUUGGAGAAAAAAGAAAAAGAAAAAACCUGUUGGUUAAAGAGAUCAAGAGUGCUUUGGGCAUUAGCCAACAUAGCAGCAGAGAUGAAGAUAGCCUUCGAGAUCUUAGAAGGGUACAUCUCCAUGGCAUAAGACAUACAAGCACCUCCAAAAUCAUGCCCCACUAAUAUCACCUGCUCACACCCAUCAAUUUAUAUCUUAAAUUUGUUAGUAAAUUACCAUUUUUAGUGUUAUUGAGACCAAAAAAAAAAAACAUUAUGAUAAGAUGAAAGUGAGACCUUCUCGGUGGGUUUAAGGGUGUCGAAGAAGUGGAGGAGGGGUUUGACGUAUUGAGAGAGGCUAGUGAUGUUGUUUGUAUCGAAAGAGCUGACACCAGAACCGGUCAAGUCAACGGCAUCGACUUGGAAACCAUGUUUCUCUAAGAGCGUUAUGGUUUUGUACCAACACCAUGCACCAAACCCUCCUCCAUGAACCAGGACGAACCGCUUCGUCUCCGCACCUUCCACCUUUAGCUCCUGCUUCCAUCCAUUUAUAUCAUAGUAUCAUAUAAUGAUUAAUGAGUCUCAAUAGCGAAUUUGGCUAAAACAAAUUAAAAGAUUAACACAAAUAUGUUUAUGUAAUCAUCCAUGUGUAACAAGUGAUUGUUCUCACAAAAACAUUUAACAAAAAUGUCGUUUUAUAUAUUUUUCAUUCAAUGUUUUUGGUUAUUCACUUCAAUUCCUCAAAUGAAUCUAUAGGAACUAGCCGGUUCAAUUUUUACCGGUUUGAACAGUUCGAUGAAUCUAGGGGUGUAUCAUGUAACGGAGCCAAAUAAAUGGACAAUAUAAAAGUACUUGCCUUGUCUAGGAGCUGAUUGGGUUUAAGAACAGGAUCGGUGCUUGAUCUCUGCCUAUUACUAGAACUUCUAACGUAUCCAUAAGUGGAUUUCUUAGGAGUCAAGGCGCCGGAAACAGAACCUACGGAGGCGGCUACAGCGGCAGGAGGUGGCUGAGUGUAAACGACGGAGGUGGAGCGUCGGAAAGGAGGAGCAGAGUUGCUGUUACGAGGCGUUUGACUAAAGAGGAUAUUAGUGGCGGCUAAGGUUUGUUCUUGGAUUAGAGAGUCUUUCUCGUGAUCAUGAUGAUGCUCUUGGUGGUGUCUUUCUCUGAUCUUUUUUUUUGUCUUGAUCCCUCCUUUCUUGGACGUAGACGAAGUUGAGGAUCCGGAGCAAGAGAGAGAUGGAAGUAAUGUCCGGCGUCGGAAAGAUGGUAUUAGAGACAGCCUCCGAACGUGUUUCUCCGAGCUAUUACCGUUGACGACGGAGCUAGGUUUCUUCUGGUUUGGAUCUUGUUCUUGCGAUAUGCAUCUUAAAGAGUUUCCCAUUUUUUUAAUUUUUGGUUUUUCUUGUAAUGUGUACAAGUUUGUGUGUAUGUGUUUUAUAUAUAUGUAGCAUGUUCGUGCUUGCAUGUGUAUUAUUUUGAUUUCUGAUGGGUGAAAAUGAAGAGUUGAGACUCUCACGUUGUGAAGCUGUACUUAAUGUAAAUCUGUUUGAUCGUGAUAGUUUUGACACACUUUUUUUACUUGAGACUCACGAAAACGCACAUAUGAGAAAAAUUGAUUUAAAAUUUUGAUUAUUCUAUCAUCAACUAAUGAUAAAAAAAUAAAACUAAUGAAAAUUGUUUGCCUAUACAGAUGGAGAUAGAAGAAAGAGGGAGGAACAUGGAAGGGCACUUUCUUUGAGCAUUUUGCUACUUUGACUUUCGAGUGCAGACUAUUUCUUUACAACGAUAAAACAUAUUUAUCCUCGUAUCUUUCUUGUUUAUAUAUAGAUCUUUUUCUUUUGUCAGUCCCUAGCCAUUGUGACCAACGACUACGACUAAAUGUUGUUUAUCCGAUAGCUACCAUCAAGCGAUACUUUUGGUUGCUAAUUUUUUUAGCGAUUUUCACUGAAUUUGGUGACUACAAAACAAAUAAUAUGGCGAUCACUGAAUCGGAUUUAUUCGGAUUCGGAUAAUUCGGGUAGGAGAGUUUAUUAUCCGUUCGGAUUUUGUGACUAUUCGGAUCGGGUUCGAUUCGGAUAGUGUCAGAUUCGGAUCGGUUUCGGUUCGGAUAGUGUCAGAUUCGGAUCGGUUUCGGUUCGGAUAGUGUCUUUUUCGUGAUAAAAACUAAAAAAAUGUUUAAUAUGAAUAAAAAAUAGUUUAGUCUUACUAAAAUUUGGCUAAAUUUCGUAAAAAUAAGUAUAAUUUUAACAAAUAUAACUAAAAAAUUUCCGAUAUCUAGGUUAUUUAUAAUUUUUGUUCUUUGUUAUAAAAUUAUAGCUAAAUAUAACUAAUAUUUUUGAAUAUAUAAUUUUAUUUUUGGUUUUCGGAUAUCCUUUCGGUUUUUGGUUCGGAUCGGGUUCGAUUCGGAUAAUUCGGAUAGGAGAAUUCAUUAUCCGUUCGGAUUUCGUGACUAUUCGCUUCAGAUUCGAAACCGGAUUUUUCGGAUUGGUUUCAGAUCGGUUUUCGAAUUUCGGAUUUUAUGCCCAGGCCUCAUCGAUUGUCAAAUACCUCGAACAUGAUUUGUUUUGACGAACAAUAUUCCCUAUAACCUUUCUAUGAAUACCACUCCAUGUUGCAUGAUUGGGAGUAAAGGCUGCCAAAAAUAUAAUAUAUUUUGAAAUCUUCUUAGAGCAUAUGCAAGGGGGAACACUUGGUGUGUUCUUAAGGGUUUUAAAAUAAUAAAAAUGUUAAAUAGUGGAUACAACUGUUCUUAAAAUUAUAAAAAACUGUUCUUCAGGAAGAACAGUUUGCAGGAUAAGUUAGAACUGUUCUACCACUGUUCACCUUAUUUCCUAUUUUUAAAUCCUAAGAACACACUCAAAAGUUCCCCCCUUGCAUAUGGUCUUAUGGAGUCAGGUUCGUGGGAAACCGUAGUGGUAGAUAUAUCGGAUCAACCGAAAGGAUCAUUAAAUCAUGGGCCAAGGUUAAAAUUUAUGGAUCUUCAAUUUCAUGCCUGUUUGAUUCUAAGAAUAUUAUUUUGAAUUAUGAUAUAAUUAUUUCUUUUUAUUAAUUGUAAAUUUGGCAUAUUUGUUUAUUGGAAAGUCUUGAUAAAGUGGGAAUUUGACUUUUCUUCUAUAUGAUAUAUUAUUCUCUAACGUUAAUUGUAUUAAGUGGUGAUUGAUCUAUUUCUUUGUGUAGAAAAGGAGUAACGUUAGUCGUGGAAAAUUUCUCUAUAAGAAGAAGAUGUGUUGUGUCUUCCAAAGUAUACACUUGCUACACUGUUAAAACAGAGAAACAGAAAACAAAGUUCAUUAUUCAAGUGUUGUGUGACUGUUUAGUUUGAGAGAGAUAACCUUGGGAAGAAGUUGUUGCCGCUGUGAGGAGCACGAAGCAAGGAUUUCAGCAAGAAGAAGACAUCCAUGAUUAAAGGAGAGUAAAUGUUUUACUCGUGAUAUCUUAUAUCAUGUUUUAGAUAGAUAUGUUAAAAUUUGUGUAAAAGUUUUAUUUCUAUCUUGUAUUGUCUUCUUAAAGUUAUCUAAUAAACUUGUUUGCAGUCGAGGACUAGGGGUUGGUUUGAAAGAGAACCAACUGAUACCUCGUUAAAUCUCGUGUCGUCUCGUUUAUUUCUUUAUUGUUUAUUAAGCUUCCGCACUAUUUUAAUAUCUAGUUUAUCUCAAAAAUUUACAAUGCCCAUGGAUGAGAAGAUUUACAACAUUUGGUAAAAACAACAUCUCUAAUUGUCUUUGUUUAUAAACAUAUGCGAGGUAGUGCGGAUCCAGAGCAAUUAUAUCAAUAUUGGCUUGUAAUUCAUUAUUCACUAGAAAUUUAUUAUUUCAUAGAUUAGGACCCGUGUGAUCUUCCAAAAAAAAAAGAUAAGGACCUGUGUGAUACACGAAUUAAAUGAUAAAUAGUAUUUUAGAAAAUUUAGUAAGUUGUCUUGUAAUUUUAUGUAAACAUUAUGUUAAUCAAUUAUGAAUCUUAUAUGUUUGGAUUUGAAUCAGCAAAAUAUACCUUUUAAGAUAUCUUAUAACCUUUUAUUUUAUCCAAACUUAUCUUAUUAUAUAAAGUUUUGUUUUCCAAACUUAUCUUAUUAUGUGAUUGUAUUAUAAAUAUUGCUUAACUUAUUAUAGUGGUCCAUGAUUUUGAGUUUCUUUCUGUUUUUAUUUAAAAUGAUGAUUUGACUAGUUUACUUGCCUUGUUCUUGAUGAUUGAACCUUCAUGCCCAAAGGCUCUCUUGUAGUCAUUGUCCUCUGAUCCCUUAUGUGAGUCUAGAUCUCUCCCGGUCAUAGAAUAGCUCUUUUCACCAGCAGACUUAGCAUUUUCCUUAGCUGAUGUCAUGCCCAUAACCUCUGGGAAACUAUUACUUCUCUUUCUCUGCUUCUUGAAAUAUAACACAUGUUUUGUAAGAGACAAACAAUCCAAAAUUUCAGAGGUGGAACACAAAAGCAUGUUUCGUUUACCCUUUGUUGGAUUCUUGGUCACUUGUCUUCUCUUGAACAUCCGAUUUAGAGUUUUUCACUUCGUGAUCUACCUAUAAGACAAAAUCAAAGAAAACAAAACCCUCAUUACUCUCUUCCUUAACCAAGAAAAACUAAACCCUAUAUCUUAAGUCCCGUAACAAAAAAAACGAAUUGGGUUUCCCUAAAUUGCAAUCCUCAAUUCCAAACAAAAGAAUACUAAUCAGCGAUUCCAGAGCAAAAAAAAAACAAGCUUUUUACAUGGGCAACGAUGAUUCUUUCCCAAGCAAAGAAAAACCAAACCCUAAUUACUCCCUUCCUUAACUAAGAAAAACCAAACCCUAAAUCUUGAGUUCCGUAACUAAAAAACGAAUUGGGUUUUCCUAACUUGUAAUCUUCAGUUCCAAACAAAAGAACACUAAUCAGCGAUUGCAAAGUAGAAAAAAAAGAUAAGCUUUUUUCCAGUGCAACGAUGAUUCUUUUCCAAGCAAAAACUGUCGAAAAAAACCUCCUCCGGCAUCGCGUUCGGCGGUUCUUCAGUGAGCGCCGUCCUAUGAAAAAUUUCUGACAUGAGAGAGAGAGAGAGAGAGAGAGAGAGAGAGUAAUAAUAUAUUGUAUUUUUUUCUAUAUUAGUAAUAUUAUUGGUAUAUAAAAAUGUGACACAAAUAAAGUGAGCAAAAUAUGUUAUGCAUUCAACUCAAAAAUAAAUUGUUGCAUUAUUUUUCUUAUUAUUUCUUUAUAACACCUUUAAUUGAAAGGAUGAUUUAGUCUUAAUCUGUGGAUAUCACGUUAAAAUUGAUUAUUUCUUUCUAUCCAAACCUCAGAGAUCGAUAUUUUCCAAGCUUUAUGUUUCCAGAAAAAUUCAUUAAUUCAUCGAGAAGAAUACUCCAAGUGAAAGAUAUCGAGUGCCGAAUAAUCCUACAAAUUAAAUGUGAACAAAUCGAUCGGGAGUAUCUACAUGCAAAGAAAGCGUAACGGUAAAUAUAUUUGAUCAACCGAAAGGAUCAUUAAAUCAUGGGCCAAGUUCAAAAUUUAUAGAUUUUCAACUUCAUGCCCAUGGAGGAGAAGAUUUACAACCUUUGGUAGAAACAACCUCUAUAACUGUCUGUGUUUAUAAACAUAUGUCAGGUAGUGUGGAUUUAGAGCAAUUCUUCGCUAAAAAUUGAGAUAAUUUAUUAUUCACUAGAUUAGGAUCCGUGUGAUAUUUUGCAAAUUUACUUUUCACCUCCAAAAAAUGCAAAAUAAUCUUUUGAAGUAAAAAAUAAUAUGUAACACAACCCUUAUACAUAUAUUGUAAACGUUUUCACCGUCACAUAAAUUUAAUUUUAAAAAUUCUAAAGGUGUAGUUGAACUCCUCGUCUCGAGGGCUUCGAUUUGAUAUAUUAUUUUUUUCAAAAUUUUAAAAAUUUGAUAAUAGCAAAAAUGGCUAUAUUGCAUAUUAUUUCUGAAUUCAUAGAAUUAUUUUGCAUUUUUGGAGAAAGAGAGUAAAGUUGCAAAAAUUGGUAACUCUAAGGGUUUUUUGCACAAAACCCUUUUACUAUUAACCUUUUAUUUUUUCCAACUUAUCUUAUCAUAUAAAGUUUUGUUUUCAAAAUUGCUAACUCACAUUAUCGUUAAGUUUCUUUUAUAUGCUAAUUAUGUGAUUUUAUUAUACAUAUUACUUAAACUUAUUCUACUGGUCCAUGAUAUUAAGUUUCUUCACUAUGUGUUCUUUUAAAGUUACUAAUUAAAUCAAAAUAAUUUGAAAAUUAUUUAGUGUUCUGCUUUACUUUUUACAAUUAUAGUUCUAAUUUUUUUUAUCUUUUUAAUCCCUUAUUGACUUCUAAAGUCAAUCUUCACUUCUCUUAUAAUCUUAUAAUUAUAAAUUGAAAAAUAAAUAAGCAAUGAAUUUCUUACAAGAUAACAAGAGCUACAAAACAAAAUCUCAGUAUUUUAAAUAAAAUAUCUUAUAAGAUUUAUUUAAAUAUAUUGAUUUGUAUUUACUAUUUAGAUAUCUCUAAUUAAAUAAACAGUAGAUUUAUCCAAUCUUCAAAAAAUUUAUUAUCAUUAAUGAUAUAAUCAAAAAUGAAAGAUAUUAACAUAUAGAUAUACAAAAGUUCUAGAAACUUCUUUUUAAUACAAAAUUUGGACAAGAGCUAAGUUCAUAAGUGUCACAUGGUCCGAAACACGCCGAAACCAAGUAAGACCCACACGAACCACUCGACUCGAGUGCGUUAAGAUUUUCCUUUUUUUUAUUUACUUUUUUAACCGUGUGAUGGGUUAAAAGUUCUUAAGUCGGUCAACUUAAAAAGGUAACCAAGUCAAAAAAACCAAAUUUACUAGUUGAGUUCGGAAAUAAGAAAACCAAAGCCUACCUUAAAUAGAAUUUUAGAAAUUAUUAUAUAUUCCUUCUUCCUUAUUUAUUUAGUUUCUGCAUCGCCGUAAGAAAUCAAAUCAAAUCAAGGAACCUCUCUAAAACCCUAUUAAAGGCUCUCUCUUCUUCUUCUUCUUCUCCAAAUCUAAAUUUCCCUAAAAAACCUAAUCACGCCUCUCAAGCUUCCUUCUUUAUCGCCGGACUCUCCUCGGUUCCAUCUUCCUCUGCCGCCAGGUUUAUUAUUGAUCCGAUUUCAGAUUUGGGUUUUAAAAAAAAUUUGAUCUAGGGUUUUUCCGAUUUGAUUCUGAAUUGUUCUCUGUUUUUGUUUUGUCGUUGGUUUGAUUAUCAGUACGUGUGCAGAUAUGGCUACCGAGGGAGUUGUUCCUUCAGCGAAGGCGAUUUCUGCUGCCUUUGUGGAACAGUACUAUCAUGUUUUAAGAUAUGUUCCUCAUGAAGCUCAUAAGUUAUAUGUUGAUGAUAGUGUUUUCAGCAGACCUAGUCCUGAUGGUACUAUGCUGUCUUUUACUUCCGUUGAGGUAAUUUCAGAACAUAAAGUCUUGUCCUUUUUAAUGCUCCUUCUAUUUGAUAACAUAAAGUCUUGUCCUUUAAUGCUCCUAUUGUUUUGAAAUCGAUCGAUCUCAUGCUAGUGAAACUAUCCUUUGAUUACGUCACGGUUGUAUUAGCUCUUUAGCUUUAUGUUGCUCAUACUUUUUGUUGGUUGCUUUUAGUUUUUGUUUAUCUCAGUUUAUUGCAUUGUGGAAAUUGAGUUCUAUUGAACAAUUGCUUAUGUUAGAUCACAGCUCUUUAGAUUAGUGUGUUCUUCUAGUUUAGGUGAUGGUGAUAUGAGAACAGAUUUGUAUGCGAUUGUUGUGAUACUAGUUAUAAUUGACUUGUUGAUUUCUCAUACUUAAUGCUUUGUUGACUUCUUUUCUUUUUCUUCAAUUGAGAUUCACUUUAUACUCUUGUUUAGUUUCAGACUUCACAUUAUUUAUAAUGUUGGUUCUUACAGGCUAUCAACGAGCAUAUCCUUUCAUGUGGCUUUGACAAUACGACAUUUGAGGUUCUGAGUAUCGAUUCUCAGAAUUCUUUGGAUGAUGGGAUAAUUAUCAUGGUUAUCGGUUUCAUGACUGGAAAAGACAACCUGAGGAGGAAGUUUUCUCAGAUAUUCUAUUUGGCACGUCAUAAUAACCAUGUUGUCCUCAAUGACAUGUUUCGAUAUGUUGAUCAAGAUGAUUCCACCCCACAAACUCUGCCAGUUGUUGAAUGUGGUAAGUUGUCUUAACUUUUUUCCGUUUGAUUAAGUUUGUCGAGUAAGUCCAUAUCAGUCAAUAAUUAUUACUCUUUGUGGACUAUCUACAUUGUAGAGCCAGCAACUGAGAUUGUGAAGCCAGCUGCUGAGCUAAAGAAGACCGAGCUGAAACAGAAAAACGAUGCUUCGGUGGCCAAGUCUGUUAAUGCUGCUGUUGAAAAGAAUGCUGCUGCUCCAUUGGACAAUGGAAAGAUGAAGCAGUCUGAAAAAGCUGUUAUUGCUCAAAAAUCAACAGAGCAAGUUGCUGAAACAGUUGCUCCUCAACCUGAUGGAGCCAAGAGAUCGUUUGCUGCGAUUGUAAGUCAUAUGUUUGCAAAUUUUUGUUUAACAUGGGACAUCUAUGCAUACUUACCCGUAAUGCGGUACAGGUCCAAUCGUUGGCAAACAACGCUGCUCCGUUUCAAGUGAAAGCCCCGGUUCAGCAACCUAAAUACAUGGGACAACCACGUGCUGCUGCAGCACCUAAAAAACCUGCUUACGUCAGUAAAUCUAUAAAGAAAAAUGAUCAGAAGAUCAUUGAAGAACCAGGUUAGCAGACAGAGAUUGCCAUUUACUGUCGGAUUGAAAUUAACUCUUUUCGUUUCUUGUCUAUUUUGUUUAUCGGAUGGGUGUGUUUUUGUUUCAGGUAAAUCUAUAUUUGUGGCAAAUCUGCCAUUGAAUGCAAUGCCGCCCCAACUCUAUGAACUGUUCAAGGAUUUUGGUCCUAUCAAAGAAAACGGGAUUCAAGUCCGAAGCUCCAGGGUUUGAUCUUUGAUCUCUCGUAUCUUUUUGCUAUUUCUACUCAUCACCUCUCCUAGAAUCCUUACAUGAAUUCUACAUUUUUCUUAUGUGUCCAGGGCAAUGCUAAUCCAGUUUGCUUCGGGUUUAUUGCCUUUGAAUCUGCUGCCUCUGUCCAGAGCGUGCUUCAGGUAACUAACUACAGAUACCAGUUUCUUGUUUCCCUUUUAAAAGUCUCUGAAUUUCUAAUAUUCAAACUCUGUCAAUUCCAGGCUACCAAGAACACGCCCUUCAUGCUUGCAGACCGUAAGCUUCGUGUAAAGGAGAAGGAAGGUAAGCUUCUCUUUCCUUAACCCCCGCCUCUUAAUCUAAAAUCAUCGGUUUCUAGCGUGCAAGGCUGAAUCUUCCUCUUGCAGUUGACUAUGAUGGAAGCAAACCUUCUGGGAAAACCAAAGGUGGAAGCAACAAGAUUCAGAAUGGCUCUGCAGAUGGCAGCAAGACUGAGAUUAGCUCUGCAGAUGACAGCAAGACACAAAACGGCUCUGCAGAAGAUGGCGAAGAUGAGUUCAAGCAGGUCAGAAACCGUAGGAAUAUUAGAAAAAACCGGAAUGCAAAUGGAGACAAUAACCAAAAAAAAAGUGAAGGAGGAGCCCCUAAGGUUCAAGCAGCUUGAUGAUACUCUCCUCUACAAACACCAACACAAGAACAACACUUACAAUUUGGAGCUUUCUUAGAAAAUUUAUUAUUUCAAGAGUUUGCAAAUUGAGAUUAUUUUUCGACAUUACAAAUUCAUAUAUCUUUAUUUCUUUAGGUUUUCUUUUUUGUUUUCUUCUUAUGGAACUCAACAUAAUUCUUCUUUUCACCAGUCAUUUUCUUCUGUCUUUUUGUUUUUUUUCUUCUUAUAUUCCAAUUUUUAUUAUUCGAGUAUUCACGUUAACGUAUAUCCUAUGGUUUGUUCCGUUGCGAAUCAAGUCACUUUGAAGAAAAAUAGUAAUUUAAGAUAAGCUAUAUGAAAUCUGGUCUAAUGUUGCAUCAUUUCAAUAUUUGUAAUUUCUAAAGAAGCAAAGAAUUUGUAAUAAACAAGUAAUUAGGAGUUGUAAAAAGAAGUAAUUUAGCAAUGCUUGAUAAAGAGAAAACAAAUAAUAUGCGAAUGCGACACCUCUCUCUCUCUCUUGUCUCCCACGUCAACGAUUUUGCUAGAUUUGAUUCCAAUCUCUUUUCCAGCUUACCUACCUUUUCUCUCAGAAAAUGUGUUAAAAAUGGCUUUAUCUUUUAGGAAAUUUUUUCCCUUUUGGAAGUAAUUUCCUAAUUUCUUAGCAAUAGCAAGAACCUAAAAAGGAAAUGACCAUAACAUUUUAUAAUGUAAAAGGAUUAAAAAAAAAAAGGUCAUUAUCAUCUUACAAUGAUAUAAGAAUUCUUUUUCAAAACUUAUUAAUGUAUCCAUGGUUACUUAUGAUUUUUUCUAAACCAGUUACUUUUGAUUUAUCAUUAAAUUCGAAAGUAUAAAAAACCAUUGGACUCUAAUCCAUUAUGAGAAUUUUUUUCCCUCUCCUAACAAACUUUUUUUUUUUGUCAUCCGAAAUUAAAUAGGGCUCAAAAGAACCAUUUCACUCUCCUAAGAAACUGAACUCAUAAAAAAUGUCAAAAUAUUCUCGAAAAACUCAAAAUUUCUCAUAAAUAAAAUUCGAAAUAUUUCUCCUCACAAUUAUAUUUUAUAUAUAGAAUCCUUCCCAAAAAUAAUUAUUGCAUAAUACUCAUUGGUUUUACUUUUUUAUGGGCUCAAGUUUUGUUCCAAUUUUUUUGAUAUAUGAAGGUCUAUAAAUAUAUUGGAUGCAAUGAAAGUUCAUUCUAAGAGAACAAAUUACAUUCUACUACAAUUUCUCAGAAAUUUUAGAACCUCUCUACAUAAGUUGUUUGAAUCCUUUUUAAAAGGAUAGAUUUUAAUGAGUUAAAUAAAAAAAUUAGAACCAAACUAAAGUAAUUAAAUUCUUUACUUACCAAUCCGUUGGAGACACGUGACCCCUAUGGCAAUAACUUAUAAAGCGUCCUCCGCCAUUACCCAUCACACAACACCUAUUAGCUUUGAUGUGUGGUGGACAGUGGACUUGUAGUGAUGAUGAGUGGCCUAGAUUCAUUAUUCUUUUUAGAAUCAUACAAGAGUUUCAGCCUUUUUUGUAAACAAAUAAACAAAACAUGAAUUUUGUAUAAGAGUUUUGGCUUAAAAUGUUUUGUGGUUGAAAUUUUAAAUUUAAUUUUGCAUUAAAUUUACGUGAUUCUACAAAAUUGACGAUUUAUCUGCUAAUGUAUCUCUAUCAUUGAUACUAGUAUAAAAUCCUAUUACAAGAGAAUACUUCGAAUAACUGAAUAUUUUUAUCGAAUCUCGAAUUUCGACUAUUAUAUACUCCCUCCGUUUUCGAAUAGUUGUCCUUUUAGAGAAAUUUUUUUGUUUUUAAUUAGUUGUUGUUUACAGUUUUUCAUGCAAAAUUUAUUACUUUUUUAUUUUUUAUAUUUAUUUUUAUUAUGUACCUUGAUUUACUAUUGGUUAAAUUAUGUUUAGGUAGAUAAUUAAUGAUAUUUUUAUAUUGAAAAACUAACAACAUUAAUAGUUUCUUAAUUUGUGUGCAUAUAAUUAAAACGACAACUAUUCGAAAACGGAGGGAGUAUUUAGGUUGACCAUUAGUAGAUAUCGUAAAAAUGAUCAAAACAUAAAUAUGUAAUCUAUAGUUUGUAUUAUUAUUAAUUGUUAGUAAAAUUUCAAAGACGACAAUACGCUGAAUUUUUUCAUUUGCGCAAAAUUACUGGAAAUAUUGGAGUGGCUUUUUGCCGAUAGCUAAAUGUUUGCCAUGUUUAUCGAGUCAUGGCUAUUAUUAUUUGUGUUACCAUUCUAUUCAUUUUAAUUUUAAAGACAAGAAAGAAAAAAAAAAAACUCUGGUCUUCUAGUUUCUACGAUAGACUCUUCACUCAUAAUUUAUCUGGUUCAAAAGGGUCUCUAAGUGUAUAACUGUAUAUGUACAUUACGAAAUCAAGACUAUAGUAUAAAAGCAUGAUUCACGUUCUAACAUGAAGUAGAUAGAUAGGAUUAUUAAAAAAAAAAAAAAAAAAAAAAAAAAAAAAAAAAAAAAAAAAAGAUAGGAUGAUUUUAAGAAUAAUACAAGAAAUGGAUCGGAGGAUGUUAGACACGCAAGGAUCCACACACCCACUAGGACACGUGUUUACAUGUCCGAGCGCUGACAUGCUUCACGUUCCCGCGACAGUUCGUUGUCACGGUGUAAGAGGAGGUCUCUCAGAUCUCUGAGCUGGCCAUAUAGGACCACGUACCUUACCCUUAGCCAAUGGGGAACGCUUAAUAUUAUAGAAUAAUAACUUUGUUUUUGAUAAAAUUAAUAUUGGUUCAUGCGAUGAAGAUCACGUUCAAUUAAGGUUAUAGAGGAAAUCGAUAUCUUAGAAUUUUCAAGACUUCGGAUAUAUAUAGAUUUGCAAAUUUACUUAUUUAGAUUAAGAUCAUGCCCAUAUAUAACUCAUAAAUAUUAUGCUCAAAUUUGAAAAUCAUAAAGAAAUCAAAGUGAUAAAUUAAUAAUAAGUUUAACUUUGUACUAUAUAGUUACAUUAUAUAUAUCAAGUAACUAACUAGUCGUUCGAGAGAUCUAUGUCGAAAAUAAGUUUCUCCAUCAAGUUGUUCAAGUUUUUAUAUAUUCGGGUCUACUUCUAAAACCGGUUACAGUUAUAUACUACGUUUAAAAGUAAUGUGAUAAAAAAAUCUGCCUAAACAAAUAAAACUCAACAUGGUCCUAAAUGAUUCACUCAAACCUCUAUGAUAAAACUUAAAUCCAAAUAUCCAAUACAUGCUUUAAUUAAUUUUUCUAUUACUCGAAUUCCAAUUUCCAAGCCUCGUAAUUACCAUCGAUAAGGAGAUUUCGUUUUAGAAUAAUGGUUUUAAAUAUAAAGUAGUUCAUCUAUACGAGACACCAUAUCUAACAAUGAUGUUUAAUUAAACUUUUUUAACAGAAAAGAUGAAACCAUUAAUUGACUACUUGGUCGAUGAUUAAUGAUUAAUUUUAUUUUUCUCAAAAUAGACACAUUAUUUCUAUUUUGAAACGAAUAGAACCAAUCAUGAAUAAAGCACACUAUAGAACAAGCAAGUUGUGAAAUGAAAAAUACAAAUUUCUUUAAAUACGUGUUGGAAACCAUUGUAGGACCUGAGACAAAGAACCUUAAGCCCAUUCCUCUGAACCUAAAACGAGACAGAGCAACACGUGUCUCGUCCGACACAUGUCAUCCUCUCCGUUUUUAACGCUGAUGAUGACACGUAACUCGCCAGCGAAUAUUAUAACAAAUUAAAUAAGAGAUUUUGUUUUUUUAAAUAAUAGUAUAAGCAAAGAAGCAAUAAUACUUAUAAUAGUGGCAAAAAGUGUGGGGACAAAGAAAUUAAAAUUAAAAAUAAUUAUAAGCCGUACAAAAACGUGUCGAUUCGAGGGAUCAUCUGAUUGCCACUUGGCACUUUUCACACAUUGGCUAUUCUCGUCGCUUUCUUUUCCUCUACGUGCCCAAAACCCAACAUUUAUAUAUAUUCUUACUCAACUUUAUUUUAUUAAUUUUCCUCAACAACAUAAUAAUUAAUAAAAAAAAUAAAUAAACUUUUUAAUUAAAGUAUGUAAAAUAGUAAAUUUUAUUAUAUAGGAGAGAAUCUAAAUUGAUUACAAUUUCUUUUCUUGGUGAAAUCUUUUUUGCGAGUAAAUAGAAAAAAAUAAUUACAGGGAUUUGGUUUUUAUUGUACAUGUUAAUGUUAAUGAUGAACUAAUAAGGUAUUGACAAGUAAAAUUGAACUGAAUAUUCUGUCUUGUACUCAAAUUUGAGUUCUCUUUCUCUGUCUCAUCCAUUUCACUUUUUUUUUGGUCUGUCUCCCCCAUUUUUUAGAGAAAUCAUAUUCAAUAGUAACAGAACGUGUCUCGUAAGUUUUUAUUAAUGGAUUAAAGAGAAACUUUUUCUUCUUCUGCAAAUAUUGGAUUAUGGAUCGUGGCAUCAAAAUCUGAUUACUGUUUCAUCAGCUUCUUUGUUGUUAAUGGCGGAAGCAAACGAGAGAAGUAGAGAAAUGGCGAGAAGUAAUAGUUGUGUGUUUCCAAGAGAUCUACUUCAGAGAUUUAUCUCUAAUUCUGUUGAAGGUGAAGAUGAUGAUGAAGAAGAAGAAGAUGAUGAGAUCGAGUUAAAUCUUGGCUUAUCUCUUGGUGGGAGAUUUGGAGUUGAUAAGAGUAAUAAUAAUAAGCUUGUGAGAUCUUCUUCCGUUGUUGUGACGAUGCCUCUGUUUCGGGAAGAUCAUCAUCAUCAUCAGGCGGCGGCGAUGAUAACGACGAAGGUUUCGACGGAGACGGUGGCGGGAGCGACGAGGGGGACGGGUUUGAUGAGAACGACGUCGUUGCCGGCUGAGUCGGAGGAAGAGUGGAGGAAGAGGAAAGAGAUGCAGACUUUGAGAAGAAUGGCGGCGAAGAGACGGAGAAGCGAGAAGCUUCGUACCGUCGCCGUCGCCGGUGGAGGAAACAGUAAUAAUCCGGAAGAAGCUGUCACUGCCACCACUUCGAGACGGCGAGGUAGACCAUCGUCAGGACUUCCUCGGUGGUCAGCGACGGCUAACAAAAGCGAACUUUUGCGGCAACACAGCGCUGCUCUUGAUUCACUACAAGUUUCCGUUGAAUCUCAAGGCGGAGGAGGAGGUGGAGGAGCCGCCGGAAGUUCAUCGAGCGUCUCCGAGUUGGAAACUAAAGGUAUAUUACUAAUCUAUCUAAU
rnacentral:lncRNA from 1 species